UUUUUUUUUGUGCUUUUUAAAAAUUAUUCACGCUUCCAAAUUUGGUCGGUUUGAAAACUGUGCAUGUUCUAAAAGCAUUUCAAAAUUGGGAAUUAAUGUUGCGUUUAAAACUUUAAAAACGUUCGACUCUGCGCUCGGUUCAAAUUUUGCACAUAGAUUUCAAAGAAUGUUUCAUGUUUUCAAAUUUGUUAAGGAGUAUUCAUAUUUCCUUUUUGAAUUUCAAAAAAUGUUCCAGUUCCAAAAAUGAUGUUCUUGGUUUUCGGAAAUAUUUCAGUUUUAUAUUUUUCAUGAAAUUGGAAAUUGUUUGAGUUGCAUAGAUAAUUUAGUUCUGCGCUGCUUGUUGGUUCGUUAGGGUUCGAGCUGUUGCAUAAUGAUGAAUGAGUGCUAGCUCAAACGGUAGUACCAUGUCGUGUAUAGCAUGAGGUCCUAGGUUCGAGUUCCAGCUACAGCAUGCUGUUUUUUGUUAGGCCAGCCCAGUUGAAAACCGCCUGUGCAAAGCGUAACUUUUUGCAGCAUAAAGCAGCGUAUAGGAAGUUCCGCUUCCUACGACGCCUAGGCACAGUUCGCCUGCAGUGAACCCCCUAACUGGACGGGCCAGUAACCACAAGCCGCGUAAGGCUGGUGUAAUGCGUGAUUAUUUUCGUUUUACGUUCAUAUUAGUAUUUAUGUUUUAUUUAAAAAACUAUAUUACGAAAUGUCAUAUUAUAUCAUUGAAAAACACUUUACAUAUUUUUCUAAAUGUUAAUACUGUACUUAAAAAAUGUUAAUCUUGUAUUUGAAAUAUAUUAAACUUGUAUGAAAAAAUAUAUCUGGUGUAUACAAAAAAUAUAUAACGUAAAUGAUUUUUUCUAAAUGUUAAUCAUGAGUAUAAUUUCUUUUAAUCACGUGAUACAAAAAUGUUACUCAUGUAUAUUAAAAAGAAAUUGACUACUAAAAAGUACACAUUUCAAAACAAGUUUAUGUGACAAUUACGAAGUAUAACAUGUAAAAAAAUGUGUGUAAUAGUUCAAAAAAAUGUUUCAUACAUUCUGAAAAUCACAAGUUUCAAAAAUGUAUUUGUGGCAUUUUCAAAUAAAUGUUUUUACAAUUUACAAUACUGUUAGCACAGUUCAAAAGAUGUAUUUCUAUCAUUCAAAAAAUGUUUCAACAUGUAUUGAAUAUUUUUUUCACAUGUAUUUAAUAAAUAUAUAUAAACAUGUUAUGUUUAAAAUUUCAAACAUGUAUAUAAAAAUAAUAAUCUAGUUUUAAAAAUGUGUUAUACGUACACAAAAAUAUACAAUGUGUAUGACAAAGUAGACGUGUAUUAGAAAAAAAAGAAAAUAACUUAGAAUGAAAGAAAAAGAAAAAAAAUUAUCAAAGAAAGAAACAAAGUAUAAAUAAGAAAAAGCAAAACCGAAGAAAAGGAUUGCAAAAACAAAGAAAACUGAAAAAUAAUGUUGCAAAAAGGAAAAUCAAAUUAAUCUAGCGAAAUAAACAAAGAAAAGAUUAAAAAACAGAAAACGAGAAAAAUCGGACUAAAGUGAUAGAGCAUAGCGACCAGACAUGAAGCGAGCAAAGCCGUUUAGCGACGCAGCCCGCUACUGUGUUGCUCGUAGCCGAUUCCUAAUAGGAAUGAGUAUGGUUGUCUCAACGAAAAAAAGGAAUCAGUAUGGACGAAUUUUCUUGCUUUUCUUUUCUUCCGUUUCUGUUCUUUCUAUUAUAUAAAAUAAUUCAACAUUUUAAAAUACUUCCUAAUUUAAAAAAAGGGAAAAGUUCAAGAAAUCAUAAAGAUUAAAAACUGAUUAUGAUUUUGAGAAAAUGUUCGUGUAUUAGAAAUUGUUCGCAAAUUCAAAAAAAGUCUAUGAAAUAUUAAAAAUUAUUCACAUAAAAGAGAAAAUUAUUAUGUUUUACAAUAAAGUUCAUUGAUUCAAGGAAUAUUCUUGACUUAGAAAAGAAAAACCCUUAUAAUCAACCGACUGAUGGAACACGUAUCCCUUGCCUCCCACACGUCGAUGCCCUUUCACUAGUGUCUCCCCUUCUAUUUCUUCUCCCUCCAGCACACAUCCCAAUAAUAAGUCUCAAACGUAUCUAUUUUUCAGACACUUAUGGUCUUGUUUUGGACUUUAAUUUGCAUUAUUUGAAUAAAACUAAUAUGGACUCACGUUGUUUUCAGCACAAUUACCAUGGUGUUGUUUUUAUGAAAAAAUAAAGUUUUUGAAGUGAGAUGAAAAUUUACGAAGAUUACCAUGGCGAAGAUUACUACUCGAGGGGGCAACCACGGAGCAACAAGCUCGAGUGGCGCUACCACCCUUGGGGCGCGCCAUGCUAGCUCGUGGGCCCUUCGGAACCUCUGGUUGACCGAAUUCAAACUCCAUAAGUACCAUAUUAUGGAGAAAAAGGGAGAAAAAACUUUCAUUGCGUUUUACGAGACAGAGCUGCCGCCACCUCCAGUUCUUUGUCGGGAGGGCUGAUUUGGAGUUAGUUUAAGCUUCAGAAAUGGGAAUUCGUCGUCGUCGUCAUCAACAACCCUUCUCCAUCAACAGUGCCAUGAUGCUCACCAUCGGGAGUGAGUAAUACAUUCGCAGGUUUGCUAGACGGUGAUGGGCUUGGAUGAGAUUUGUCAAGUAAUCGAGUCAAUUUGUUAGGACUUGAUCCCUAAUAUGCCCUAUGUUCUGAUAUUUGUGUUGUUGUGACUUUGCUAUGCUUAAUGUUUGUCACUAGGGCCCGAGCGCCAUGAUUUCAGAUCUGAACCUAUUUUAUUUCUAUAAACAUGAGAUUGUUUUAGAUCCUAUCUUCCAAGUUGUAUGCACCUAUUAUGUGUUAUGAUCCAUAGACCCUAAAGUGAGAGAAGUUAGGAUCAUAUCUAGUGAUGACCGUAGUAUGAGGAGUUCAUGUAUUUACCUUGUGUUAAUGCUUUAUUUUGGUUCUUUCUUAAAAAGAUGUCUUAAUAUUCCUUAGUUUCCCUUUGGACCCUACUAUCACGGAAGGAUAGGACAAUAGAUGCCAUGCAAGUUCUUAAUAUAAGCAUGUAUGACUAUAUACAUAAUACAUGCCUAUAUUACAUUGAUAUAUUGAAGCUAUUGUGUAUCGCUCUAGGUUGUGACUGUCACAUGAUGAAUGUCAUCCAACAUAAAUAUCCAUCGUUGAUCCAAUGCCUACGCUUUUUUCAUAUUGAUCUUUGCAAAGUUACUAUUGUUGUUGCUGUUACAAUCAUCACAAACUGCAAUUGUUACUGUUCUUCUUACUAUUGCUACUCUUACUGAAACUCAGGACUAUCAAACUACUGUGCUACUAAAUAAUUUGUUGCACAGAUAUUAUAUUUUAGGUGUGAUUGAAUUGACAACUCAACUGCUAAGGCUCACAAACAUUCUUUGGACCCCCUUGUGUCGAUUCAAUAAAUUUGGGUGAAAUGCUAUCCUCGAAGACUGUCGCGGUCCCCUAUACUUAUGGAUUAUCAUCCAGCAUCGUUGAACUGCUGCUCCAAAACUUAAUGGACCAUCACAUUGCCUAGGGUGUGCAACUUGUACACCACCAUUACAAAACUAUCGCCCCUUCUGUGCUGCAAUGAAGGUGCUCCCAUGGCGCCCGUGUUGGCACUAGAUGAUUCAAUGACGUCUUUGAUAGCAUGACGGUGCAGGCUACUACGAGAUGCUACAACAAAGACGUAGGAUGCACGUUGGUGCGGGCUAAUGCGUGAUGAUGCGAUGGAGUCGUCAGCUGCCUGACGGUGCGAGCUAUCGUGAGGUCCAACAAGCGAGCCAUAGUUGCAAGACGCUAGGCUCCGCUGCCUAUACUAUUGCCAUUGUUGCAACAGUGAGCACCCAUGUCGAUGUUGCAUCAACUCGCAGAGACGACGAUCACUAUAAGCUGCCACACAGACCACAAGCUGCUAAUGCUGAGCUACAAUGGAGCGCUUGCUCGAGCUGCAACAGAGCAAGAGACGACUAGCAGAGCACACCAUCUAUUGCAUCAGGGGCAAGCGAUGGACCGCCUGCUCAUAUUGAAUAUGUAGGGGUGCUUGCUUUGCUACGGUUGUAUGAUGUAGCAUUCGCGAGAGAAAAAAACGACGGUUAUGAUGGGGAUCAUCUAAUAGACGUGGAGGCGGCUUACUUUCCCUCAAAUCAACCAAACUAUUUGUAGCAUCCACCUUUAGAAAAUGUCCAUCAAUUUUGAAAAAUGUUCAUGUAUUUCAAAAAGAAAUCAGCAAACAAAAAAUUCACGAAUUCCAAAAAUUGUUCCCAUAAAGAUAGUGGACUCAAAAGACGUGUGCCGAUUCAUAAUUUCUUAUGAGUUUCAAACACUUGUUCACGAAUUUAAAACAUGUUCACCAAUUCAAAAAAUAUUCAUGAUUAAGAAGAUGUUCACGUGUUUGAAAAAUGUUUGCGAUGUCAUAUUUUUUUUCAUGAAAUCAAAAAAUACUCAUGAUUUCAAAAAACAAUUCACGAAUUUGAAAAAUAUGUUCGCAAAGUGCAAAACUAAAAUUUAAAAAGGAGUACAAAAAAUUGCUAUGAACGUUCCCUAAACUGGAAAGGAGCUACUUGGGCACGUACCAGGCCACACCGAAUAGGUAGGAGUGGCUGCGGCCGAAUCAAAUAAGAAAAAAACAUAGCUAUUUCAUCGAAUCCCGAUUGUGUGGGUGUGAAGUGGAAAAUCCCGUUUUCGCUGACAUUGAACAUAGGAUAGAAAAUCCUUUUUCGCCAGGCCUUUUGGACUCGACAUCCAAACGGAGAGAGUGGUUCAAAUCCACCUCAGAAUGAACAAUGAAAAAUGCAUAGAACGGAUGCAAGCUAGGAAUGAUGAAAGAAAGAUUGAUCUUUUUCACUGAACUACUAAUUUUUUAUGAGAAAACACGAAAAUAGCUUAGUUCUAGAGAGGGUUGAGCUUCAUCGGUUAGUGUGCACCAAAGAAUGAGGUUCUUUCCAGUCCCACAAAUUGAAACCGUUCUACUUUGAUACUGUGAUAUCGUCAAAUCAUUCAACGUAGCAUGGAAACCAUUUAGGUGGCGCUGAAAGUUGACAAACAGAUGGAAGACAUGCGAACUGGGCUAGUCUGUUUAGAGCUAUUUUUUUGGGGUUUUCUGCUGGGUUUUAACUGGUUUUUCUGUAUUAUUUAUUUUUCAGAUGUACUCCACAUUUUCUUAUUCCUCUUCUGGUUAUCCUUUUUGUAAUUUUUUAAAUUUGAUAGACUGCUCGAGAGUCUACGUUAAGCAAUCUCCUCGAUCAACCAUCCCUUGCUUGAUUCGCUUGACAAAGCCAAUCCUUUUCUUUCCUCUUUUCAAUUUUUAUUUUUGUAUCGUCGUUAGGAAAAAUUCAUGAACACUCUUUAACAUGAUAAAUAUUUCAUGAAUAUUUUAUAAAUACACAUUAAUAUUUUUAAAACCAAUUCUGUGAAUGAUUUUUAUUAAAAAUGUUUGAACAUUUCUGAAAAUUACACAGACAUUUUCUGAAAUAUACUAGGACUAUUUUUAGUUCUAAGAUAUUUUUAGCGUAUUCACCCUUUUUGAUUAUAUGAAUAUUUCCUAAGUUACUUGAACACUUUUUUUAUUACAUGAUCACUUUUUAAAACACACAAACAAGCUUUUUAUUACAUAACAUUAUGCAAAAUACGCUUUAAAUAUUAUUAUUUAAUGAUUUAUCACUACGUUUUUAGUAGAACAUAUAAUAAAAUAGAUUUGAAAAUUAAAAUGGAUUGAGUAAUAGCGGAUCUCUCUCCAUGUCUACCUUGUUCUAGUCUCCGGAGUGUAUGUCCAGUCCUAUGCUCCUACCUUCGCAUUUGAACGUGUAAGUUUAUUAUUUUUAUAAUAAUAGAGGGCAAUAGGGAAUACAUAUAAUUAAAUGCAUGAUAGUUUUUUUCCAAAUUGCACAUCUUUGCCAGGUUGGAGCCACUUGUUCAAAUUUGUACACGGUUGCUUCACAUUUCCCUAAAGAAGAAUUCGUCUUCAGCUGUAUUAUUUUAUGUGCUUUAGCAGAGCAAAGUUGCAGAAAGUAAAUUAUUGCAGCUUUAUUUUAAUCCCAAUUUAUCAGGCAUUGGUUGAAAAUAAAACAAUGUAAGUUUAUUCUUUCACAAGUGGCCGGAGUGACCAGACCUCUUUUAGUCCGCGUGCUGCAAGGUGCCGGGCGACAAAUCGCUCACCCCUACACCUAUCGGAUGUGGGCGGAGUUUAUUUAGUUUCCUUUUUCUCUUUUAUCAUUUAUUUUUGUAGUUCCCUCUUUACUAUUCAUUUUUGCUGGAAUUUUAAUAUGUUAACGAAAUUCUGUAAAACUUACACUAAUUUAUUAUUUUUCGAAAUUAUAAAAAGAUUGGAAAUUGAACAUUUUAAACAUAUCCACGAAUUUAAAACUUUUCUGAAUGAAAAAACGGAAUUUUAAAUUGUUCCAGAGUUUUAGUAAACUGAAUCUAAAAAAUCCAAAUAAAGGAAAUAUUCGUAAAAUGUUCCCGAAUUAUAAAUAAUGUUUAGAAACUUUUAACAGGUUGCCCAAUUUUAAAAAACUGUUCACAAAUUAGGAAAAGUUUCAGAGUUAAAGAAUACUCCCUCCGUCCCAAAAUGACUGUCUUGACUUUGUACUAGCUCUAAUACAAAAUUGUAUUAAGCUUAAGGCAGUUAUUUUGGGACGGAGGGAGUACUACCUAAUUUUACAGAAGCCCAAAUUUCAAAAAGUAUCACAAAUUACGAAAUUUAAAAACAGAAAAAAAAAACAAAAAGCUGGUAAGAACCAAUAAAUAUAAAAAUCUAAUGCACAUUCUAGAAUCAUCUCAAGAGCAAUUAAAAACAAAGACAGAAAAUAUAGUAAAUCGGCGGGCCUGUUUACCAUGCGGGAGUUGAGCGGUACAUGGAAAACCCUAUUUGCCGCUCUAGGCCAACCCGUGUCGGGGCUUCGCACAGAGCAGGAGAGGGAUCGCUUAGCAGGGGUUGCAGUUCCUUCUAGAGGUUUUCAGAUAAUUUUUUUCAAUUUUGGAAAACUUCUAAGGGCUUGUUCGGUUAAUCCCCACCACAAGGGGGUUGAAGGGGAUUGAAAGGGUUUGAGGUGGAUUUUGACUUGUUGGGGAUUUAAUCCCUUCCAAUCCCCUUCAAACCCCUUGAAAAUCUAUGGAACCGAACAAGGCCUAAAGGGUUUUCUGAACCGGUUUAUUUCUUUUUCAUUUUUAUUUAUUUUUUUCUUUUCCUUUUUUCGGUUUCUGUUUCAAAAAAUGUUUUAAUUUAGAAAAAAUGAAUUUUCAAAAAAAUCUUCUUGACUUCAAAAAAUGUUCUGUAUUUUUCAGAAAAUGUUUUCGGUUUCAAAAUUAGUUUCUCAAACUCAAAUUUGUUUUCAGUUUCAAAAAACUUUCUUAAGAUUCAAAAACUGUUCGUGCUUCCAAAUUUUUUUGGGGUUUCUAAAAUUUGGUCUUAGUUUCAAAAUUUGUUCUCAAAAUUCAUAAAAUGUUCGUUCUUUAUUUUUUUCGUGCUUUCAAAUCUGUUCAUGUUUUUUAAAAUUGUUCUCGGUUUGAAAUUUUGUUUUCAAAACUCAAAUAAUAUUCACGUUUGAAAAUUGUGUUCGCGCUUCAAAUUUGUUUCAAGUUUUUCAAAAUUGUUCUCCUUAUCUAAAUUUUGUUCCCAAGAUUCAAAAAAUGUUCAUGCUGAAACAAUUUGUUCACGCUUCCAAAUUUGUUCAGGUUUUUUAAAAAUGCUCUUGGUUUCAAAAUUUGUUCUCAAAAUUCAGAAAAUCUUCGUGCUUUAAAAUUUUGUUCACGUUUUAAAAAAUGUUCGGGGUUUUAAAAAAUUGUUCUCCUUUUCAAAAUUUUGUCCUCAAGAUUCAAAAAAUGUUUAUGCCUUGAAAAAUUAUUCGCGCUUCCAAAUUUUCUCACUUUUUUUAAAUUUGUUCAUGGUUUCAAAAUUUGUUCUCAAAAUUCAAAAAAUGAUCGUGCUUUAAAAUUUUGUUCACGUUUUAAAAAAUGUUCGGGGUUUUAAAAAAUUGUUCUCCUUUUCAAAAUUUUGUCCUCAAGAUUCAAAAAAUGUUUAUGCCUUGAAAAAUUAUUCGCGCUUCCAAAUUUUCUCACUUUUUUUAAAUUUGUUCAUGGUUUCAAAAUUUGUUCUCAAAAUUCAAAAAAUGAUCGUGCUUUAAAAUUUUGUUUGGAGUUUUUCAAAAUUGUUCUCCUUUUCAAAAUUUUGAUCUCAAGAUUCAAAAGAUGUUCGUGUUUUAUAAAAUUGUCUGCGUUUUCAAAUUUGUUCACAUUUUUUGAAAAUUGUUCAUGGUUUCAAAAUUUGUUCUCAAAAUUCAAAAAAUGAUCGUGAUUUAAAAUUUUGUUUGGAUUUUUUUAAAAUUGUUCUCCUUUUCAAAAUUUUGAUCUCAAGAUUCAAAAGAUGUUCGUGUUUUGUAAAAUUGUCCGUGUUUUCAAAAUUGUACACAUUUUUUGAAAAUUGUUCUUGGUUUCGAAAUUUGUGCUCAAAAUUCAAAAAAUGUUUGUGCAUAAAAAGUUGUUCCCGCUUUCAAAUUUGUUUGGAGUUUUUCUAAAUUAUUCUUGUUUUCAAAAUUUUGUUAUCAAGAUUCAAAAACUAUUCGUGUUUUAAAAUUAUCCGUGCUUCCAAAUUUGUUCACCAUUUUUAAUUGUUCUUCAAAUUUAGAAAAUGUGUUUUCUUCACAUAAUAAAAGAAAAGAAAAAAGAACAAAAAAGAAACGUAACUGGGCCGGCCCAACCGGGCGCCCCGCUGUGCGAUGCAUGGGCUCUCUGCCGCAUUGAGCGGCAUGUAGGAGCUCCCGAGGUACAUGUCUGGUCGACAUGGGACACGUUACGCACGACUUACACGAUCCGCCCAUAGUCACUAACUCCCACGUUGGGCUUUCCUUUUCCAUUUAUGAAAACAGUGAGGGAUGUUCGUUGAGCUAGCAUGUUAGCCUUAACAACUAACAAAAUUGUCUCAAAAAAGACAACUAACAAAAGACAAUCCCAAAACAAAACCCCAAACCAAAGACAAAAUCACUAAUUGAAGAGUAUACCUCUCAAAGAUCAUUAACAUCUUUUCAGGUUGCGACACGUGACGCAUUGCAUGUCUAUAACUUGUCUCAAUCUGCGAGUAUUCUCUUUUUUUAUUAGAUCCUUUAUUUUCAAAAUGUUUUAUCUCUUAAGCCGUGCUUUCAAAUCUUGAACUGUUUUCAUCUUUGGACUCCCUACGCUGAGAUCUUUAAAGCUAGAUCCCAUGUUAAUAGGUUUUUAUGAUUUAUUUUUUCAACAAAAAACUGGAUGAAAAAACCGACCGAAAAACCGUGGCUGUCGCGAAAGAUUUCCAUUUCCUAGAGGCACGACCGUGCCUCUCACGAAAGCAAAUCUGUUCCUCUCGCAGAAGCAAAACCGUGCCUCUCGCAAAAAAAGCAUGUUUUUUUCCGUUUUCGAGAGGCACAGUCGUAGCUCCCGUUUCCGAGAGGCACGUCCAUGUCUCUCGUGAAAUAAAAAAACAGAAAAUAUUUUUUUUUGUUUUCGAGUUUUACGACCGUGCCUCUCACGGAAGCAAAAUCGCACCUCUCGCGAAAAAAAACAAAAAACACAUAUUUUUUUUGUUAUUUUUUUGUUUUUGAAAGACACGGCCGUGCCUCUCGCAAAAAUAAUCUGUACCUCUCACGAAAGUAAAACUGUACCUCUCGAGGAAGAAAAAAAUAAAACACAUUUUUUUUCUUUUCGAAAGGAACGGCCGUGCCUCUCGCGGAAGCAAAUCCAUGCCGUGUAAGAAAAACCUUGCUUUUUAGGAAAGAAUAAAAAAACAUGUUUUUUCAUGCAAUUUUUUGAAAUUCGUCCAAAACCUAAGAAAGACCGAUGAAAAAUCAAACCCCCGAAAACACCCAGAAUAAACCCCACCUAAGAAGCUGAAAACACAUGAAUUUUUUUCUAAAAAGAACACUCAGAACGCGAGACAUGACAACGCGACCCGUGAUGACGGAUGGGGCAGCACGUAGAAGUGAUCAUUCGGAGGCUUCCGAAGGAACGCUCGCCGAGUGGCGAAGCCAGGAAUUAAAGAUCAAGCGGGCCAAAUGACUCAAAUUUUUGAUAAUAGGGGCUAAAUUAUAAUAAUACAUGUACUUUUCCGAAAUAAUACACUAUUCAUCUUCAAAUCAGGACUAAAUCAGGGAUGUUAGUGUGCGUACCCCCAUGAGCGCCCAAUCCUCUGUUUGCGCUGGCCCGAUUUGGGUUUCUUCCUCAUCAUUUUGGGAAACAGUUCUACAACUUUUCCUGAACCGUGUCUUCAUUUUAUCUUGAUCUUCUCUUCCGGGUUUCCCUUUUUUUCUUUGGUUUUUAAAAUAUAUUUUAAAUUUCUUUUAUUUUCUGUUUUCCUUAUUUAUUAUUACUAUUUCUUUCUUCUUUAUUUAUAUUCUUCAUUGUUUCGAACAUAUUUUCACAUUGGAACAUAUCUUGAAAUCAUGAACAGUGUUCAAUUUUUAUAUAAAUUCCUGAACAUUUCUUCAAAUCGUGAACAUUUUUUGAAUAACGAACAAUUUUGAAAUUUGGGAAUACUUUUUGCAGUUAAUGAAUAUUUAUUAUGUUUUUGACAAAGACCAUUUUGAAAUGGAUUAACUUCUUAUGAUAUGAUGGAGUUUUUUUUAAUUUUGUACCAAUUUUUGAAUCUCACAAACUCUUUUUUAUUUUGUGGAACUGUUUUUAAAAUCCAUUAAUAUUUUUUGAUGUUUGUACUUUUUUUUAAAAUUAUGAACAUUUUUUGAAUAUGCGAACAAUUUUUUGAAAACCAUGAACACUUUGUUCAAUCCAUGAACUUGUAUGAUUUCUCGAAUACCUUCUAAAAAACAUGAACAUUGUUUUGAAUUCUCACACAUUUUAUGAUUUCUAGGACAUUUUGUUUGAAAAUUCCCAAUUAUUUGGAAUUUUGGUACUUUUAUUGAAAUCUUGAAUUAUUUUAAAGAAGAAACAAAAUAAAAAACUAAAAUAGAAAGAAAGAAAUUCAAAUGAGGAUGUCCCCUUUUUUAGACGCACACUCGCGAGAAUAGGAUCGGUAGAGUUUCACUACCCGAGAAACAAAAUAAAAAAUGCACAAGAAAAACCCGGAGCCGGAAGCACCCCCCACCACACACACUUCUUCUCUUUCCAAGAAAGCACAAUUGAAAAUUUGUUCCUCCAUAAGAAGCAUAUAUGUGCUUCUAGCGGAAGCAAGAAAAAAUAUGAAGGUCAUGUCCGCGAUUAAGGACGAUUUGAAAAUUUAUAACAUCCGAUUGUAGAAAACUACAACUAAUAACUAAAACUUGUCAUGCUAUGUGUAGUGUGAUUGUCUUUUCUUAUGAGUUUGGGAUCAAGAAGAGGACACUAUGGGGUUAUGAGUGGUUCUUAGAUUGGCGUUCAACAUCACUUAUUGAUCAUUCUAGUUGUGCUAUUAUCUUGUUCUAGUACCUGUAGGACCAUAUGGUUAGAAAUGCUUAGUGUUUGCUACAACCUCACCAUUUCACCACAUUCCAACUCAUUAAGUAUUGUUAGUCUUGAUAUCUUUGUUAAUGUUAUUGCAGAGUCUCAAUGAUCCAUGGAUACCACAACAGUGCCACAUGCGGGUACAAAUAAAGUUAUGCUCUAGCGUGAGAUUAAUGUACAUUCUAUUUGGAUUUCUUCUUCACAACGAUCGUUAGGAUGUGAUCCCGGUCAAGAACCUGGGAUUAGCUGUUGGGGAAUGUUGCAUGGAAAACAAAAAAAUUCCUACGCACACACAAUACCUAUCCAUAGUGAUGGUCAUCUACGAGAGGAAAGUUCGGAUCCACAUACCCUUGUAGAUCUCUAAGCGAAAGAGUAUAUAGCGUGGUUGAUGUAGUCGAACAUCUCCGCGAUUCAAAUCGCAGUCCGUCCCGCGAUCUCAUCACGAACCGUCUCGCGAUCCCAUCACGACCCAUCCCGAUCUAGUGCCGAACGGACGGCACCUCCGCAUUCAGCACACGUGCAGCUCGAUGACGAUCUCCGCCUUAUUGAUCCAGCAAGAGAGACGAAGAGGUAGCUAAAUUCUCUGACGGCACGACGGCGUGGCAGUGAUGGUGGUGGAGCUACUCCGGCAAGGCUUCGCCCUACCGUACCGAACUAGCUACGGAGUGUCACAAAGUGGUGGAGGGAGGGAGGGUUGUGCCUUGGCUUGAGGUGCCAAAAGCCUCUCUCACCUCCACUAUAUAUAGGAGGGAGGGGAGGGGUGGUGCCCUAGGGCAAGGCACUAGGGUUCGGCCGAGCCAAGAGGUGGAGUCCUCCUCCUCCUCCAACACAACUUGGAAGGAGUCCUCCUUUCCAAUUCGGUUUUGGCACACCCUCCUUUCCUUUUUCUCCCUUGGCCGAAAUAGGCUUCCUUGGGAUGGCCACCAACCCACUAAGGGCUGGUGCGCCACCCUUGGGUCUCUUUGGUUCUCUCCCGGGUGGGUGGCCCCUCUCAGUAGAACUCCGAAACCCAUUCGUCACUCCCGGUACUUUACCGGUAAUGCCCGAAAACCUUCUGGAAGCCAAAUGGAUACUUCGUAUAUAUCAAUCUUUGUCUCCAGACCAUUCCGGAAACUCUCGUGACGUCCGGGAUCUCAUUCAUGACUCCAAACAACCUCCGGUUACCAACAUCAAUAAUUCAACUAUAACGAAACGUCACAGAACCUUAAGUAUGCAGACCCUCGGGUUCGAGAACUAUGCAGACAUGACCUGAGACACUCUCCAGUCAAUAACCAAUAGCGGGACCUGUAUGCCCAUAUUGGCUCCCAAAUUCUACGAAGAUCUUCAUCGGUUGAACCUCUAUGUCAAGGAUUCAAUUAAUCAUGUAUGUUGUUCCCUUUGUCCUUCGGUAUGUUACUUGCCCGAGAUUUGAUCGUCGGUAUCUCCAUACCUAGUUCAAUCUCGUUACCGACAAGUCUCUUUACUCGUUUCGUAAUACAAGAUCCUGUGACAAACUCCUUAGUCACAUUGCUUGCAAGGCUUUAUUGUGAUGUUGUGUUAUCGAGUGGACCCCGAGAUACCUCUCCGUCACAAGGAGUUACAAAUCCCAGUCUCGAUUCACGCCAACCCAACAUACACCUUCGGAGAUACCUGUAGAGCACCUUUAUAAUCACCCAGUUAUGUUGCAACGUUUGAUACACACAAGGUAUUCCUUCGGUGUCUGGGAGUUGCAUGAUCUCAUUGUCAUAGGAACAGAUACAUUGAUAUGCAAAAAACAGUAGCAAUAAACCGACACGGUCAUAUGCUACGUUCAUAGUUUGUGUCUUGUCCAUCACAUCAUUAUCCUAAUGAUGUGAUCCCGUUAUCAAGUGACAACACUUGUCUAUGGCCAUGAAACCUUGACCAUCUUUGAUUAACGAGCUAGUCAACUAGCGGCUUACCAGGGACAGUGUGUUGUAUAUGUAUCUCCACAUGUAUUUGAGUUUCCAAUCAAUACAAUUCUAGCAUGGAUAAUAAACGAUUAUCAUGAACAAGGAAAUAUAAUAAUAACCAAUUUAUUAUUGCCUCUAAAGCACAUUUUCUACAUUAGCAGGGUGUACGUUUCUUAUUUCUCUAGUCUCUUAGGCGUGUUUGGUUCUUAUUCGUACUUGUUGGAUUGUGCCUUCUAGAUGAUAUGCUUGUAAUGUAAUGUUGAGUUAUGUGACCUCUUAUUGGUGUUAUAGCUAUGUAUGUCAUUUGUAUGUUCUAUUGUAUUCUUGUAUUAUCUCUUCUAUUAAUGACUAGUUGUAUGUGUUGUGAUGUCCAUCUUGUUACCAAUAUAUGACCUUGUGUGUAUGCCCAUAAGUCACAUGUUGGGGCGGCCAAGUGUGCUUCUUUCCCCUGCAAGAUUGCAAAGCCUUGUAGGGAUUAGAAACCACAUCUUGGACGUUACACUCUGUUAGUUCAUCAUCUCACUAUCGCCCAUGCUCUUUUAGAAAAUAUAUUGUGGGUCGAUAAAUACGAGGCCCGUAACUACUCGAAUCAGCCAAAUAUUCCUUGAUGGAACAACCAUUUAUUUGUCUCGCAUGGGCGAUAUGGAAACAUGAUAACCGACAAGUAUAGGGGAUCAUGACAGUCUUCGCGGGUAGUAUUUCACCCUAAUUUAUUGAUUCGAUACAAGGGAAGCCAAAUAAUAUUUAUCGGCAUUGAUAGUUGAGUUGUCAAUUCAACCGCACUCGAGAUAUCUCUCUGCAACAAAGGUUUAGUAGCACGACAAAUAAUAGUAGUAGCAAUAACAGUGAUAGCAGCAACUUUGUAACAUAAGUGACAUUGACAUCAUCAAUAGUAACUUAUCAAGAUUCAAUAUAUGUAAAUCGUAGGCCAUGGUGCAUCGAUGGAAAGAUAUGAAUGACAUCAAUCAUGUAACAGUUGCACACUAGAGCAACACAUGAAUAGCUAAUUUUCAUCAAUAUAAUGUAGGCAUGUAUUCCGUAUGUAGUCAUACGUGCUUGCGAUAAGAACUUGCAUGACAUAUUUUGUCCUACCCUCCCGUGACAGCGGGGUCCUAUUGAAAAAUAAGGGAUACUAAGGUAUCCUUUUAAUAGACAAUCGGAGAAAAGCAUUAACACAUGGUGAAUACAUGAACUCUUCAAACUACGACAAUCACCAAAAAGAAUCCCAAUUAUUGUCACCUUGGGGUAUGCAGAUCAAGACACGUGAUAGGUGCAUAAAACUUGCAAGAUAGGAUCCAAAUCACUCUUAUCUUCAUGAAAACAUAAUAUGUUCAGAUCUGAAAUCAUGGCACCCGGGCCAUAGUGACAAGCAUUAAGCAUAGCAAAGUGAUAGCAACAUCAAUCUCAGAACAUAGUGGAUACUAGGGAUCAAGCCCUAUCAAAUUAUCUCGAUUACAUGAUCAAUUCCAUCCACAACCAUCACCGAUCAGCAAGCCUACAAAGGAAUUCCUCAGUCUUGGUGGUGAGUACCAUGGAAUAGUUGACACAGACGGGUUGGUGAUGACGAUGGGGAAGGAUCCCCCUCUCCGGAGCCCCAAAAUGACUCCAUAUCAGCCCUUGUAGGAUUCGAAGUAUGUCUAGAGGGGUAGGGUGAUUAGACUACUUGACCAAAUAAAUCUUAGCCUUUUCAAAUUUUAGUUGUGGGCCAGUUUUAGCAAUUAUUACUAGUCAAAUUCACCCUACACAUGCACCUCUAAGAAUAUAGCGGCGGAAAGUAAAGACAUGCAAAUGUAAUAUAGAGGGUAGGGAAGGAAGAUCAAACGCAAAGGUUGACACAGAAAUUUUUGGCGUAGUUCAUGUUGGGGGUAUGUUGCAUGCGAAACAAAAAAUUUCUUACGCACGCACAAUAUCUAGCCGUGGUGAUGAGCAUCUAGGAGAGAUGAGAUCGGAUCCACAUACCCUUGUAGAUCACCAAGUGGAAUUAUAUAUAACGCGGUUGAUGUAGUCGAACGUCUUCGCGAUCCAAUCACGAUCCGUCCCGCGAUCUGUCCUGCGAUCCCAUCACGAUCCGUCCCGAUCUACUGCCGAAUGGAUGGCACCUCCACGUUCAGCUCACAUACAACUCAAUGACGUUCUCCGCCUUCUUGAUACAGCAAGAGGGGUGGAGAGGUAGCUGAGUUCUUCGUCAAAAUGAUGACAUGGUGGCGGUGUUGGUGGAGCUGAUCCGACAGGGCUACGCCGUGCGCUAUCGAAUUGAUCUAGAGGUGGAACGAACUAGAGGAGGGACAGAGAGAGAGAGCUGCACCAUGGCCUUUUUGGGUGCGGCUGCGUGCCAUGGCCUUUUUGGGUGCAGCUGGCCUCUCUCCUCUCCAAUAUAUAUAGGAGGGAAGGGAAGGGGUGGUGCCCUAGGGAAAAUCCGUAGGGUUGCCGACGACCUAAGAGGAGGAGUCCUCCUCCAAUUGGGGUGGUGGUGGCGCUAGGAGGAGUCCUCCUCCUAUUCGGACUCCUCUCCACCUCCUCACUUCGGGUGCAUAGACCCAUAGGGACUGGACGCCCAGCCAACCAGGGGCUGGUGCACCACCUCUUAGGCCUAUGUGGCCCUUCGGGGUGGGUGGCCCCUCCCGAUCAACCCCGAGAACCCAUUCGUUACUCCCAGUACUUUACCGGUAAUGCCCGAAACCUUUUCGGAACCCGUAUACCUCCUUCCUAUAUAUCAAUCUUCAUUUCCAGACCAUUCCAGAACUCCUCGUGACGUCAAAGAUCUCAUCCGGGACUUCGAACAACCUUCGGUCACCAACAUACAUAACUCAACUAUACCGAAACAUCACCAAACCUUAAGUGUGUACACCCUGUGGGUUCGAGAACUAUGUGGGCAUGACCUCAGACACUCCCCGGUCAAUAACCAAUAGCGGUACCUGGAUGCGCAUAUUGGCUCCUACAUAUUCUAUGAAGAUCUUUAUCAGUCGAACCACGAUGUCAAGGAUUCAAUCAAUCUCGUAUACUUUCCCUUUGUCCAUCGGUAUGUUACUUGCCCAAGAUUUGAUCGUUGGUAUCUCCAUACCUAGUUCAAUCUCGUUACCGUAAAGUCUGUUUACUAGUUCUGUAAUACAAGAUCCUGUGUCUAACUCCUUAGCCGCAUUGCUUGCAAGCUCAUCAUGAUGUUGUAUUACCGAGUGGCCCCUAGAGAUACCUCUCCAUCAUACAGAGUGAUAAAUCCCGGUCUUGAUUCGCGCCAACCCAACAGACACCUUCGGAGAUACCUCUAUAGCACCUUUAUAGUCACCCAGUUACGUUGUGACGUUUGAUACACAAGGCACUCCUCCGGUUCCUGGGAGUUUCAUGGUCUCAUGGUCAUAGAAACAAAUACUUGACAUGCAGAAAACAAUAGCAAUAAACUGGCACGAUCACAUGCUACGUUCAUAGUUUGGGUCUUGUCCAUCACAUCAUUCUCCUAUUGAUGUGAUCCUGUUAUCAAAUGAUAACUCAUGUCUAUGGUCAGGAAACCUUGACCAUCUUUGAUAAACGAGCUAGUCCUUAGAGGCUCACUAGGGGCAGUGUGUUGUCUAUGUACCCACACAUGUAUUUGAGUUUCCAAUAAAUAAAAUGAUUGCUUGGAUAAUAAACGAUUAUCAUGAAAAGGGAAAUAUAAUAAUAACUAAUUUAUUAUUGCCUCUAGGGCAUAUUUACAACAGUCUCCCACUUGCACUGAAGUCAAUAAUCUACCCAAUAAGUUAUGGGGUUUAUCAUGUUUUGCUUCUGAGAGAGGUUUUAGUCAAUGGGUAUGAACCUUUCAGUUCCGUGUGUGCUUUUCAAAUCUCUGUCAUACUUUAGAUGCUGCUACCACGCUCCAUUUGGAACUAUUCCCAAGGACUGCUCCAUUAUACGAAUCCGAUGUGCUACUCAGAGUCAUCCGGAUUGGUGUCAAAGCUUGCAUCGACGUAACCCGUUACCACGAACUCUUUUAUCACCUCCAUAAUCAAGAAACAUUUCCUUAGUCCUCAAGUUACUAAGGAUAAUUUUGAGCGCUGUCCAGUGAUCCAUUCCUAGAUCACUCUUGUACCCCUUGAUAGACUCAUGGCAAGGCAGACAUCAGGUGCGGUACACAACAUGACAUAAUAUAGAGCCUACGGCUAAGGCAUAGGGGACGACUUUCGUCCUUUCUCUUUCUUCUGUCGUGGUUGAGAUUUGAGUCUUACUCAAAUUCACAUCUUACAACACAGUUAAGAACUCCUUCUUUGACUGAUCUAUUUUGAACUCCUUCAAAACUUGUCAAGGUAUGUAUUCAUUGAAAGUUUUAUCAAGCGUCUUGAUCUAUCUCCAUAGAUCUUGAUGCUCAAUGUUUAAGUAGCUCAAUCCAGGUUUUCCUUUGAAAAACUCCUUUCAAACAAUCCUAUAUUCUUUCCAGAAAUCCUACAUUAUUUCCGAUCAACAAUAUGUCAACACAUAUACUCAUUAGAAAUUCUAUAGUGCUCCCACUCACUUUCUUGGAAAUACAAGUUUCUCGUAAACUUUGUAUAAAGUCAAAAGCUUUGAUCAUCACAUCAAAGCGUAUAUUCCAAUUUUGAGAUGCUUGCUCCAGUCCAUAGAAGGAUUGCUGGAGCUUGCAUACUUGUUAGCAUCCUUAGGAUCGACAAAACCUUCUGGUUGUAUCACAUACAACCUUUCCUCAAGGAAACUGUCAAGGAAAUAAUGUUUUGACAUCCAUCUGCCAUAUUUCAUAAUAAAAAAUGCAACAACUGCUAACAUAAUUGAAACAUACUUUAGCAUCGCUAGUGUGAGAAAGUCUCAUCGUAUUCAACUCCUUGAACUUGUUAGAAACCUCUUUGCGACAAGUCGAGCUUUCUAAAGGUGAGAUUUAGCAUCAUUGUUUGUCUUUCUUUUAAAGAUCCAUUUGUACUUAAUAGCCUUACGACCAUCAAGUAGUUCUUCCAAAGUCAAACACUUUGUUUUCGUACAUGCAUCCUAUCUCGGAUUUCAUGGCCUUCAACCAUUUUUUGGAAUCCGAACCCACCAUCGCUUCUCCAUAGCUCGUAGGUUCAUUGUUGUCCAGCAACAUGACCUCCAAGAAAGGAUUACCGUACCACUCUGGAGCAGUACGUGUCCUUAUCGACCUAUGAGGUUUGGUAGUAUCUUGAUCAGAGCUUCAUGAUCACCAUCAUCAGCUUCCACUUUAACUGGUGUAGAUGCCACAGGAACAAUUUCCUACGCCCUUCUACUCUCUGGUUAAAGUGACGGUUCAAAAACCUCAUCAAGUUCCACCAUCCUCCCACUCAAUUCUUUCGAGAGAAACCCUUUCUCGAGGAAGGAACCAUUUUCAUCAACAAAACACUUUGCUUUCGGAUCUAAGAUAGGAGGUAUACCCAACUGAUUCCUUUGGGUAUCCUAUGAAGAUGCCAUUAUCCACUUUGGGUUCGAGCUUAUUAGGCUAAAGCCUUUUGACAUAAGCAUCACAACCCCAACCUUUUUAAGAAACGACAACUUAGGUUUCUCUAAACCAUAGUUCAUAUGUUGUCAUCUCAAUGGAAUUAAAUGGUGCCCUAUAUAAGGUGAAUGUGGUUGUCUCUAAUGCAUAACCCCAAAAAGAUAGUGGUAAUCCAAUGAAAGUCAUCAUAGUAUGCACCAUAUCCAAUAGGGUGCAGCUAUGACGUUGGGAGACACCAUCACACUAUGGUGUUCUAGGUGGCAUGAGUUGCGAAACAAUUUCCACAUUGUAUACCAAACUCGCAACUCAAAUAUUCAUCUCCAUGUCACAUCGUAGACAUAUUAUCCUCUUGUCACGAUGAUCUUCAACUUCACUCUAAAACUGCUUGAACUGUUUAAUAUUUCAGACUUGUGAUUCAUCAAGCAAAUACACAUGUAUCUACUCAAAUCAUCAGUGAAGUAAGAACAUAACAAUAUCCUCAGCACUCAUUGGACUGCAUACAUCAGAAUGUAUUAUUUCCAAGAAUUCAUUUGCUCGUUCUAUCUCACUCGAAAACGAGUCCUUUAGUCAUCUUGCCCAUGUGGCAUGAUUUGCAUGUCUCAAGUGAUUCAAAAUCAAGUGAGUCCAAAAGAUCCAUCUGCAUGGAGUUUCUUCAUGCGUUUACACCAAUAGGCUUGGUAUGCAUGUCUCAAACGAUUCAAAAUGAGUGAGUCCAAAAAUCCACCAGCAUGGAGCUUCUUCAUUCAUUUUAUACCAAUAUGACUUAAGUGGCAGUGACACAAGUAAGUGGUAUUAUCAUUACUACUUUGUAUCUUUUGGUCAUCAAUAUUAUGAACACGUGUAUCACUACGAUCAAGAUUCAAUAAACCAUUCAUAUUGGGCGCAUGACCAUUGAAGGUAUUAUUCAAAUAAACAGAGUAUCAUGUUCAUGCUCAACGCGAACACCAAACAACAUUUAGGUUUAACACUAAUCCCGAAGGUAGAAGGAGUGUGGGAUGGUGAUCACAUCAACUUUGGAAACACUUCCAACACACAUCGUCACCUCGCCUUUAGCUAGUCUCCGUCUAUUCCGCAACUUUUUAUUUGAGUUACUAACAUUUAGCAACUGAACCGGUAUCUAAUAUCCAUGUGCUACUAGGAGUACUAGUAAAGUACAAAUCAAUAACACAUAUAUCUAAUUUACUUCUAUUGACGUUGCCAGCCUUCUUAUCUACCAUGUCUCUAGGGCAGUUCCGCCUGAGUGACCAUUCCCCUCAUCAUAGAAGCACAUAGUCUCGGGUUUGGGUUCAACCUUGGGUUCUUAAUUGGAGUGACAAUUGACUUGUCAUUCUCGAAGUUUCCCUUCUUUCCCUUGCCCUUCUUGAAACUAGUGGUUUUACUAACCACCAACACUUGAUGCUCCUUCUUGAUUUCUACCUUCGUGGUGUCAAACGUCACGAAUAGCUCAAGGAUCAUCUUCUCCAUCCCUGGUAUGCUAUAGUUCAUCACGAAGCUUAGUAGCUUGGUGCGAGUAACUUUGGAGAACUAUGUCAAUCACUAUCUCAUUUGGAAGAUCAACUCCCACUCGAUUCAAGUAAUUAUAGCACCUAGACAAUCUAAGCACAUGCUCAACGAUUGAGCUUUUCUCCUUUACUUUGUAGGCAAAGAAUCUUGUGGGAGGUGUCAUACCUCUUCAGCAUGGGCACGAGCCUGAAAUCCUAAUUUCAGGUCCUGGAACAUCUCAUAUGGUGUGCGACGUUCAAAAAUGUCUUGAGCGCCUCAAUUCUAAGCCGUAAAGCAUCAUGCACUGAAAUAUCACGUAGUCAUCAAAACAUGUGUGUCAGAUGUUUGCAACAUCUAUAGACGAUGCCUGGGGUAGCUCACCGAGCGGUGCAUUAAGGACAUAAGCCUUCUAUGCAACAACGAGGACAGUCCUCAUAAUUGCUACCAUCAUCUUUGAACUUAGUUUUCUCUAGGAACAUAUCAAAAACAGGGGAGCUACAUCGCAAGCUAAUCAUCUACAACAUAAUUUGCAAAGAAUUUUUUUACUAUUGUUCAAGAUAAUGAGUUUAGUUAAUCAUAUUACUAAAAACUCCCACUCAAAUUGACAUCCCUCUAGUCAUUCGAGUAACACAUGAUUCAAAUUCACCAACCCAAGUCCGAUCAUUAUGUGAGAUGAGUUGGCUUCAAUGGUGAACAUCUCCAUGUUGAUCAUAUCUACUAUAUGACUCAUGUUUGACUUUUACUCAUGUUUGACUUUUCGGUCUCUUGUGUUCCGAGGUCAUGUCUGUACAUGCUAGGCUCGUCAAGUUUAACCCGAGUGUCCCGCGUGUUGAAAACUGUCUUACACCCAUUGUAUGUGAACGUAGAGUCUAUCACACCCGAUCAUCACGUGGUGUCUUGAAACGACGAACUUUUGCAAUGGUGCACACUCGGGGAGAACACAAUUUUAUCUUGAAAUUUUAGUGAGGGAUCACCUUAUGAUGCUACCGUCGUCCUAAGCAAACAAGGUGCAUAAAAAGGAUUAACAUCACAUGCAAAUCAUAAGUGACAUGACAUGGAUAUGAUCUUGUGCUUUUGAUCUCCAUCGUCACUCGCACAACACCAUGAUUUCAAUCAUCAUGAUCUCCAUCAUUGUGCUGCCAUCGAGGUUGUCGCACCAUCUAUGCUUGUACUACAAUUGCUAUUGAUUUAGCAAUAAAGUAAAUCAUCACUAAGCGCCAUUUUUUUUAAAGACAACCCUAUGGCUCCUGCAGGUUGCCGUAGCAUCGACAUGCAAGUCGAUAUUAACUAUUACAACAUAAUCAUCUCAUACAUCAAAUAUAUCACACCAUGUCUUUGGCCAUUUCAUGUCACAACAUACCCCGCAAAAACAAGUUAGGCGUCCUCUAAUUUGCUCUUGCAUGUUUUACGUGGCUGCUAUGGGUAUCUAGCAAGAACGAUUCUUACCUACGCAAAACCACAAAGGUGAUACACAACUUGCUAUUUAACCUUCUCCAAGGAACGCCUUUGUCGAAUCCCAUUCAACUAAAGUAGGAGAGGCAGACACCCGCCAGCCAUCUUUAUGCAACAAGUUGCAUGUCAGUCGAUGGAACCACUCUCUCAUACGCGGACGAGUAAGGUUGGUCUGGGCAGCUUCAUUCCACAAUACCGCUGAAUCAAGAAAAGAAUAAGGAGAGUAGCAAUUUGAAUAUCAACGCCCACAAAAUCCUUUGUGUUCUACUUGAGAUAUCAUCUACACAUAGACCUAUCUCAUGAUGCCACUAUUGGGGUACGUUGCAUGGAAACAAAAAAUUUCCUACGCACACAUGGUAAUGAGCAUCUAUGGGAGGAGAGAUAGGAUCCACAAACCCUUGUAGAUCGCUAAGCGGAAGCGUAUAAAACGCGGUUGAUGUAGUCGAACGUCUUCACGAUCCAAUUACGAUCCGUCCCACGAUAUCACCACGAUCCGUCCCGCGAUCCCACCACAAUCCAUCCUGAUCUAGUGCCGAACGAACGGCACCUCCGCGUUCAGCACACAUACAGCUCGAUGACGUUAUCCGCCUUCUUGAUCCAGCAAGAGGGGGGCAGAGAGGUAGCUGAGUUCUCCGUCAGCACGAUGGCAUGGUGGCGGUGCUGGUGGAGCUGAUCCGACAGGGCUUCUCCGUGCGCUACCGAAUCGAUCUAGAGGUGGAACGAACUAGAGGAGGGAGAGAGAGAGAGCUGCACCAUGAACUUCUUGGGUGCAGCUGCGCACCAUGGACUUUUCGGGUGCGGCUGCCCUCUCUCCUCUCCAGUAUAUAUCGGAGGGAAGGGAAGGGGUGGCGCCCUAGGGAAAAUCCCUAGGGUUGUCCGACGACCCAAGAGGAGGAGUCCUCCUCCAAUUGGGGUGGUGGAGGCGCUAGGAGGAGUCCUCCAACUAUUUGGACUCCUCUCCACCUCCUCACUUUGCAUGCAUAGGCCCAUAGGGGCUGGCUGCCCAGACCACUAGGGGCUGGUGCGCCACCUCUUAGGUCUAUGUGGCCCCCCGAGGUGGGUGGACCCUCCCGGUGAACCCCCGAAAUCCGUUCUUCACUCCCGGUACUUUACCGGUAAUGUGUGAAACCUUUCCGGAACCCGUAUACCUCCUUCCUAUAUAUCAAUAUUCGUUUCCGGACUAUUUCAGAACUUCUCGUGACAUUCGGGAUCUCAUCCGGGACUCCGGAGAACCUUCAGUCACCAACAUACAGAACUCAACUAUACCGAAACAUCACCAAACCUUAAGUGUGCAGACCGCGCGGGUUCGAGAACUAUGUAGAAAUGACCUGAGACACUCCCUAGUUAAUAACCAAUAGCGGGACCUGGAUGCCCAUAUUGGCUCCUACGUAUUCUAUGAAGAUCUUUAUCGGUCGAACCACGAUGUCAAGGAUUCAAUCAAUCCCAUAUAUUGUUCCCUUUGUCCAUUGGUAUGUUCCUUGCGUGAGAUUUGAUUGUCGGUAUCUCCAUACCUAGUUCAAUCUCGUGAUCGGCAAGUCUCUUUACUCAUUCCGUAAUACAAGAUCCCGUGACUAACUCCUUAGUAACAUUGCUUGCAAGCUCAUUAUGAUGUUGUAUUACCUAGUGGUACCUAGAGAUACCUCUUAGUCAUACGGAGUGACAAAUCCUAGUCUCGAUUCACGCCAACCCAACAAACACCUUCGGAGAUACCUGUAGAGCACCUUUAUAGUCACCUAAUUACGUUGUGACGUUUGAUACACACAAGGCACUCCUCCGGUUCCCGGGAGUUGCAUGAUCUCAUGGUCAUAGAAACAAAUACUUGACAUGCAAAAAGCAGUAGCAAUAAACUGACACGAUCACAUGCUACGUUCAUAGUUUGGGUCUUGUCCAUCACAUCAUUCUCCUAAUGAUAUGAUCCCGUUAUAAAAUGACAACUCAUGACUAUGGUUAGGAAACCUUGACCAUCUUUCAUCAACGAGCUAGUCCUUAGAGGCUCACUAGGGACAGUGUGUUGUUUAUGUACCCACACAUGUAUUUGAGUUUCCAAUCAAUAAUUAUAGCAUGGAUAAUAAACGAUUAUCAUGAACAAGGAAAUAUAAUAAUAACUAACUUAUUAUUGCCUCUAAGGCAUAUUUCCAACAGUUCCGAUAGGUGGCGCUAUCGUACGUCCACGUUAGUGCAGACUUCAACCCAUGGAGGGUAAUGGCUGCGAGAGUCGAGAGAGGGCUCCACCCACAAUGGGUCCAUGAAGAAGCAGCCUUGUCUGUUCCACCAUGGCUUACGUCCACAUAGGACUAGCCUCACUCACGGUAGAUCUUCAUGAAGUAGGCGAUCUCCUUGCCCGUACAAACUUCUUGAUUCAACUCCACAACACGAAGUAGGAGGCUCCCAAGGGACACCUGACCAAUAUAGGAGGCACCACCCUCCAAAAGGUAAUAGAUGUGGUAGAAUGAUGAACUCCUUGCUCUUGUGCUUCAAAAGAUAGUCUUCUCAACACUCAAUCACUCUCUCACAGAUUUGGCAUGGUUAGAAGAGAUUGAUUUGGUGGAAAGAAACUUGGGGAGACUAGAGAUCAAGUUUCAAAUGGAUGUAUUGGAAUCUCUUGAUCUCAACACAUGAGUAGGUGGCUCUCUCUCAGAAAAAUGGAUCUGGAAAGUGUGUGUGUGUCUUUGUGUUCUGAGUGCUUCCUCUACGAAUGAGAGGAGGUGGGGGUAUAUAUAGGAAUCCCCCAAAUCCAACCGUUACAACAUUAUUGCCCAACUCGGUGACACCGAAAUGAAUCUCGGUGGUACCGAGUUGCACUAAAUGUUGCAACUUUUGAAUUCUCGGGGAGACCAAUAUAUGAAUCUCGGUGGUACCGAUACGAUGACCUAGAGCAGUUUCCAAAUCUUGGUGAGACCGAUUCCAAAACUCGGAAAUCCCGAUUCUUGGAAUUGAGGACAAUCAAGUUGGUCACCAAUCUCGGUGGCACCAAUACAAAAGUUGGUGGUACCGAGAGAUUAGGGUUUGGCAAAGUAUCUGUCAUUGAGAGAAUCGCUAGGGCAGAGUGGGAUAACUUGGUGGCACCGAUUUUGCUGUUUUGGUUUGGCACAAAGAUUUUUGUGGGAGAAUGACUGAACAUUUUUGGUGGCUAUCUCUAAGCCCUUGAGAAACCAAUUCAUCAUAAUACCUCUCCCCCUUUUAAUAGUAUUGGCUUUCCUAUGGACUCAAAAGUGAUUUCUCACAAAUGUAAAAUGUAGAGUCUUCUUGGUUGAAGCUUGAGCCAAUCCUAUUCCUUUCCUUGCAUCAAGUGGUUUCUCGUCACAAUCCUUUAGCCAAUGAUUCUUUGAUUUUUUUGAAAUAUAUUUGGAUAAGAUCAUUAGUUCAACAUAUAUUAUUACUAAAUACCAAAACCACCUUAGGGAUCAAUUGUGCUUUCAAUAUCCCCCUUUUUGGUAAUUGAUGACAACAUAUAGAUCAAAGCUUCGACAAAAGAUAUAAUCAAUGAUUAUCAUCGUUGCUUUGAGAAGUAUGUGAAAAGCAAGAGCCCCCCCUAAAUUUGUGCAUUAUUUUAAAUUUGCCUUUGAAUGCAAAUGCACAAUCGAUUAGGAUCAUGGGUCACUCUUCCAUGUCACAUACAUCUUGGUGGUGCGCAUAAAUGAUAUGAAUAAAUAGUAAUGCACAUACCACUAAACAAUGAGUGAAUUAUCAUCAUGUAGAUAGCUCAAAGUAAUAACAUAGUAGCAUCAACAAUCAAAGCGUAUGAUCAAACACGAUAGAUUAAGUCAACCAAAGACCAAAAGUUUUGUAAAACCAAAACGAGAGCAAAUAAAAGGCAAAGCUCUCUCUCUCUCUCUCUCAGCCCUAAUUGAUCUAUACACUUCUCCGCCUUUGGCAACAAGUUACCAAAAAGUUCAAAGGUCUAGAACUAAUAGUCUCUCUAGGCUCGAUCUCCUCCGGUAGCAGUCGAUGGAGUGCACGAAAGGGUGUCGGCGAAGGCUUCUGCGGAUGUCCCUGGAGGCGGAGGUGUAGACACUAGAGGUGCAGGAGCUGGAGCUAAAGCUGAAGGUGCUGAAGAUUGAGCUGAUGAAGUUCGUCUCAUUUCCGUCGCUCGCACAGCUGCUGACCUAGACUGGGUCUUGAACUGAGUAGUCGUGGGAAGAGGCGACUCUUCAUCAUCACUGUUGGAAUGGGGAAUCUACACAAAGUCAACUUCAUGCUAGAGCUACUGAACUGUGGUAGGCGGCAACUCCACCACUUUGACAUCCAGGUCAUGGAAUUUAGUCUCCACAAUCCUCUCAAGGCUCUUCUGGUUCAACAAAAUCUCUGAAAUUUUCUUCUCAUCCCUUGGGUGGUGCUGACAAGAAAAGACAUGUGCUCCUUUCUAGUUUUGAGCUGUGGGGCUAGUGUUGGAGCAUUUCUAGCUGCCUCUGCCUCUGCUACCUGACGCGCCGUAGCUGAGCUGGGAUGGGUAGGGUCCAUCACAACCACAUUGUCCUUGAACUCUCCCUAAAGUGGCGGGUGUGGACGAUCAAGUUGAUAUGCAUGCUUGCCAAUCUUGGCAUUGAUGAGCAUCUGAAUAUAAGGUGCAUACCCACAAGAUCUCUUCUGAUUUGUAGCAGUCCUCCUGGCAGUCUCUACUAUCAAGUCCAUCACUCUGAACCGGGUGUAGGUGUCUAAGUGGUGCAGCUGUUAAUGGAAUAACCUCUGAUCAUCUUAUUAUCUCCUGACUUGGGCAUCAGGGUGUAUCUCAUAAUGGUGUUUGUUGUAGGCAUUCCUNNNNNNNNNNNNNNNNNNNNNNNNNNNNNNNNNNNNNNNNNNNNNNNNNNNNNNNNNNAUUCCUGCUUGCAGAAAAUAGUCAGAGCCAAACUUAUGUGUCUUCACAUACCGAUGGGGCACUAGAUUGUACAUGUUUGACAUUGUGUUGUGAUUCAUCUUGAGUUGUGAGUACACAUGCAAGUCUCCCUCUUGUACAUAUAGGGCACCAAUGAUAGUGGCCCACUCUUCUACUGUGGCCUCAUAUCUGUGACCUUCCGUCAUCCAUACUAUCCUUCCAUCCGUAUAGAAAUGAGAAGUUGAAUAAAAUUGCAUAAUCAUCUCAUCGCCUCAGGUAGUCAUCUCUCUGCCAAUGAAAUCUUCAAUAUCAACUAGCCUGAAAUUCUCUCUCACAUGAGGAAACUAAUCCUCAUUGGCCUUGAUGUAAUCCCAAUCAACAUAUCACAUGUCACUGACUACAAGACUCUUGUCUAGCAACACUAUCCCAUAGAAAUAUUGUUGCUCCUUAGUGUGGAAACAAGGAUCAACAACAAUUAUUCUCCUCACAACAUAUGGGUCUGCAGUCCUCCACUGCCUCAAACCUUGAUCCCUUCUCUUCUUCAUGUCUUCAGCAAUAGGAUGAGCAACAUUGUGCAAUGGUAAGUGAGCUCUCAGUUUCAUCAACACAGGUGCAUCUUAUUCCUCCUCUGCAGCAAACUCUCUGGAUGUAGAGCCUUUAUUCUUCUCUGCUGCAUGUAUAUCCUUUGUAGUCCUCUUAGGAGCAAGUGGGUUCUUGGGCUCAGGUACUAAAGGUUUAUGUGCAGACUUCUUUGGCAUAGCAUCAGCCAUGAGCUUCUUCUUCUUAGCAAGAGGGGCAUCAGCUGGAAUCUCUUCCUCCUCUUCCUCAACAACUUCUGCUGGAUCUUCAUAAAUAGAAGUUGGCCUUCCAACAACAUCCACUACUCUCUUCCGGGCACUUUUUUGACCUGACUUCUUAGCUAGCCUAGAAGAAGUGCCUUCAAGGGUGAUCUUCAUCCCAAUCUGAGCAGCCUCUGGGGCUCUCACAUCAGCAGGUCUGGCAUACUCUUUUCUCACAGUCCUCUUGACCAUGGUCUUCUCCUUCUGCUUCACGGAAAUAAUCUCCUCUCGGAUAAAAUCAUCAUCUUCCUCGUGUAAAUUAAGCUUCUUCCUAGACCUGGUAGCUGCCUUGGGCAAACCAUUGGAGCUAGGUGUACCUGGGUCAGAAGCUGUCCUCUCUCGACUAGUGCAUGAAUCCAUGUCAUCACUCGGCUCACUAAAGUUGUUUUGAUUAUCCUCUAAUCCUGACAUACUGACAAACAUCCAAGCAAACAAGUAGAACCUGUGAAAAGAGUUAGAAGAUCUCGAGUGGAUGAGCAUCACAAAAAUCAGAAGUUCUGCAAAUUUUGAACUCUAAAUUUUUUAAGUCUAACUCUCAGAAAAAAGGGAUUUUGGUUCCACCGAGACAAAAUGUUUGGAGUCAUCGAGACUGACAUUCCCUUUAACAGAAACUUGGCAACCCUUUUCGGUUUCACCGAAAAGGGGAACUCGAUUUCACCAAAUAGGGAAAAUCGGUUUCACCGAGACUGUUCUCAGUAGCCCUAAAACCAAAAUCGGUAGGACCGACUUUUCUGACUCGGUGGCUUCAAGAUUCAGUUUUGCGGAUAGUCAGCCCUAAAUCUUCUUUCAUUCUCUAAUCUACUAAAAGUAUCAUUCGGAUGGAAUGAUCUCUAUCAUGGACAUAUAUAAUCUAAACCUAUUUGCGCAUGAUUCCGACAUGGGAGCACAAGGAGGGGUCGGAUUCAUACCCUAGUGCAGUGACGGAUCCACUACGAUGACGAUGGCAUCGUUGAUUCCCAUUGACGGCAAGGAUUCUGGUGGCAAGGUCGCAUGGGAGAAACAAGGCGAUGUCCUGAGGACUAGGGCACGACAGCGAGGAGGUGCGGGAGGCGAAGUUUGAAGAAGUGAUUUCAAACGCCGGGUCCGUGGAUAAUAUAUACCCCAUGGCUGUCGGUGACACUGAGUUGGAGUUUUUGGUGCCACUGAGUUCCAUAACUGUCAGUAGAUAAUAAAAAUCGGUGAGGCCGAAAAGAACCAAUCGGUGAUACCGAGAAUGAAAAGCAUGGUCAACCCAAGGCUUUAGUGGCACCGAGUUAUUGAGGUUGGUCACACUGAGAUGCACUCUAGGUGGUUUUGGAAGUCAGCCCUUGUCGAGACGAAUCUGUGCUCCUCACACAAAGUGUCCCUAAAGUGCUUGCUCAAUUUUUGUGUUGUAGCAUGAAUAGAAUUUGAGACAAGAAAACAUAGAUAACUAGAGAGAGGUACUUAGGCAUUCUUGUAUAUCCAAUUGGCCAAAUAAAAUGGAAAGACAAAUAAUAGCAAUUGGAUACCCAUAAAUGAGCAAAAUAUGCAUACCAGCAUGAUCACACAAUAAGAUGUCAAAUAAACAUGGGGGUGAUCAUGCAGAGCUCUAAGUAACUGGAGAAGCCUUCCCAAGCUUCAGGGAGAUUCUCUUCUUCAAUUUGCACAAAGUUAAAUAUCUCGUGUAAGGCAACUUGUUUCUUAUGAGCAGGAAAAUAUUUUCCACAGAAGUAAUAAAGCAUAUCCUGGGGACUACGCACACAACCAUGAGCAAGAGAAAGGAACCAUUCUUUAGCCUCGCCUUUUAGCGAGAAAGGAAAAUCUUAAGGAUGUAAUAGUAACGUAUCUUUCCCCAUUAGUAAACAAAGCAACAAUAUCAUUCAAUUUAGUAAGAUGUCCAACAACUAUUUCAGUUUCAUAACCAUGGAAAGGAUGAGAUUCUACUAGUUGAUACCCCGCACAUUGUUGCGAAAAAUGUUUGUACCAUAUUUCAAUGUGAUUCGUUGUAUGAAACAUGAAUAUUUGUAAUAAUAAUAUAAAAAGAUAAAUAUGAAAAAAUAUAUAAUUUACUAUGUUCGAUUACUAUAUAUUUGUAUUUUUAUUAUGAAAUAUGAAUAGGUAAUAGAAUGAAAAUUCAUGUGUAUGUUUGCAUGUUGAUAUGAGUCUUUUUUCCAUGCAUAUUUAUUGAUGAAGUGUCAUGCUUGCAUGUUGAGAUACCUAUGAUAACGAGGUUGGACUUUUCUCAUGCAUGUUUUGGCAUGAUGUGGCAUGCUUGCAUGUUGAGAGAAAUAGCUAGUGGGGGCUAGCUAAAGAUUAUAGGAAUCAACUCAGGGUCUAUAGAGAAUUCAUAAUCCUUAUCAGUAACAAAUAUAGGAGAAGUAGCAAAUUUAGGAUCACUGUAACAUCCCAAAAUUAUAAAUUUUGGAAUGUUAAUAUAAUUAUUAGAUUGAUUGUUUGUUUGUUGCUGAGUGACUGAAACUUGUGUGAAAUUUGAAACUUUUCGAAACUUUUGAAUGAGAGGGAAUAAAAUGACUUUCCCCUUCUCUGGUGAAUUCAAAUUCAAUUUUUUUUAAAAGCAAAGAGAAAAGAUGACAUGACUUCUUCAACUAUAAAUAAUUUGAAGGAGAUAUUUGCAUUUGAAUUCUUUUGCAUUUCCAUUCGCGCGAGAAAAGCCCGGAGAAAACUCUCUUGCGGAGAAAACUCCAAAGUGCGGGCAAAUUUUUGAAAUGUUUGAGCCAAGAAAACCCAAGGUUUAUUGGCAAAAAUAUUUGCAAAGAGAAAUAAAGCAAUUUAGUGAAUUUCUGAAGAAAAAAACAUUUUUAAAAGUUUUUAUUUUGGCUUUAAAAAAAUGUUAUUCGGGUAGAGAUUCUUUUUCUGAUUUUUUUGGUAUAUCAUACCAUACAUAAAUAUUUUGAUUACCUUCCUUUUUUUCGGUUUUGAUUUUCUGUCUCGGAAAAACUUAGAAUUAGGAAACCUUUUGUUUUUCUUUAACCAUCGCCCCCGAGCGUUUUAUUUAACUGGGCCGAUUCCCUCCCAGCCUCAGGGAUCGAAAUCCCUUGAUUCAGGCCGACCGCCCCUUUCCCUCAUCUCCUCCUCUCACUUACCCGUGGCCCCCACCCGAGCCCCUCUCUCCCCGUCGGUUUCUCCUACCUCCCUCCCCUCUCCUUCCUUCUUCUCUGCGCAAGAAACUUAGACCGAGCCCUCCCCACCAGCGAUUUCUUUCCCNNNNNNNNNNNNNNNNNNNNNNNNNNNNNNNNNNNNNNNNNNNNNNNNNNNNNNNNNNNNNNNNNNNNNNNNNNNNNNNNNCCCCUCUCUUUCCUUAACUCUCCCUCCCUCCUCUCACUGCCCAAGGGCCCACCGCGACCGAAGCCUUCUCCAACCCCGGCACCCUUCUUCUUCCUCCUGCCAAAAAAAAACCAAGCCGAGACCGAGCCUCCCCAGUACACGGGAUACCUUCCCCGAUUCGACCCCUCUCCCUUCCUUUUCCACCCCGCCCCAUGGCCUAUAUAAACCCCAACCCCCUCGGCCACCCCGUUCCCAACCCUAGUCGCCGCCGCCGCCGCCCGAGCCGCCGCCGCCACGAGCCGCCGCCGGUGCAAGUACGGCACCACUCCGGCCUCGCCCUGGAGGAGCCCCCCCGAGCCCUUCGCUCCACCGCCGCCUCCCUCUUGAAGGAGGACCCCGCCGCCACCUCCCCCGAAGCCCCACCGCCCCCGGAGCUACCCUCCUCCCUCGCCGGCCAGCCCUUCCUGCCGGAGUAGCCCUGCCCAGCAAGGUAGCUCCCUCCUCUCUCUGUAUUUCAUGUCUUCUCUUUUUUUUGACGUUAGAUCGUGGAUAGAGGGUCUGGAUUAAAUCACUAGAUACCCCUUCGGUCUAAUAAGAAAAACCAGUGGGUUAUUUUGUCACUUAAGUUUUAACCGGCGACUUUGCUAACCUUCGGCCGUUUGCCCGUAGCUUUGAAACAAACACCACCACAGCCAAUAGAAACUUGCCACGUAUACCCUCUUUUAGCACUAGUAGUUUUGUAAUUUUCUGUCUAUAUUACAAAAACAAAAACUUUCAAUUUUGUUUUGGCCACAACUUUUUAUCCCUAAGUCCAAUGACAUUGAUUAUUUUUCCAGUAGCUCACAAAUUUCCUGUAGUUUUUAAAAACAUAUAAUUUGUCUAUAUUUGAAAUUUUUAAAUAUAAGUUAGAGCAGAUUUAGUCUAAACCUUGUUUUGCCUAUUCCAGGAGUUUAAAAAAUAGCUUUUAAUUUGAUUCCUUUCGGUACUGAUCACUAGUGAUCUUAUGUAUCAGUGGUAAAAAUUUCAGAGUUGUUUGAGUAUUUUAACUCAUUAUUUCAUGUGAAACAAUUUCUGUUUCACCGCUUUUAGGAUUUCGACUAAUUCUUUUUCUACUUUUGUUUUAAAAUACUUUCUUUAUUAUUUCAGAAAGAUUUCCAUUGUUUUGUUUAUGUUAGUUAACAGUAGUUUUGCAACAAGUUGUUAUUUUAUUUUUAUUUGUUUUCAUGAAAUCAAUGCUAGUUCCGUAGUAACGUGCAAUUGCUUUCACCAUUGUUUCAAAUUCCGUUUGGGAAUACUUUUAAAAGGUUUUGUGAAAAACACUUUAUUUUAUCUUAGUUCCUUGUUAUUAUUUUUUGCUAGACAGAAACUAUUUAGUGUUUGACGUAGUAGAAGAUUCCCUAGUCUUAUUUGAAGUUUCUCCGGAUUCCUAUUCGCUCUCUCUUUUGUUUGAUUGCUAGAAUGAUUGCUAGUAUGAGUGCUUAUGUGAAUGAUAUGUUUGUUAUAUAGAUUUCAUCAGAGAGUGACGAGUAGUCUAUCAAGUUAUUUUCUCGAGAAAUUCUUCUUCGUCAACAUCAUAGGCAAGUCACUUUGAUCAUACUAUCACCCAUGUUUUAUGCAUUGUAGUUCUACCAUCCUAUGCCCAAUUGCAUGCUGCCUAGGUACUUGGAAACUUUAGUAUAAGUUGUAGUAUCAUGUGGUAGGAACACAACAACCCCGAUACUUGGCCCCGGGACGACAAUUUCUUAAUGCUAUGCUUGAGUAGACGGGUCAUCGGUUGAGUGUAUACCACGAGUGAUGCGAGGUUGAAAUAAUAAUCAAGACCGGUUAAGACAAGAUUUUCAAGACCUCGGACGCAAUGCAACACUGGGUGAAGGACGGUUGAUCGGCUCCCUGGAAAACCCAGUGGAUGCCCGGGAUGCUGGAGAGGCCAUGUCAUCCUGCGGAAAGCUUCACCCAGGCCCAAAGAGACGGACGGAUAUUUUCAAGACCCAAGGCUUACCUGCACAGCCACAAGUCAUUAUGGGCUCUGGCUUGGUUGGACAACGCGGCGACUCUGGACAGGCGGUGCUAGCAGAUGUAGGCGAACGGUAGGAAUGGAUGGGCACCGACAGGGAUUCAGAGGGACCUGUUGAAAGACCAUGUUUUGAUAAUCCGGUCUUCAAACACCCUGAAGUGCGAGGACAGACUCGGAGGCGAUCAAAUCUUGUGGGGAACGUGUGCAAAACUCUGCAGAGUACUCAAACCUAAUCGAUUAGCCGUGUCCACGGUCAUGGACAACUUGAGCCAAAGGAACUGAAGUUAUCUGGAUUUCUCAACACCAUUAUAUAUAUUUGAUGAGGGUAAUUAUUGACAACUCGGGUACGAGAACUGGUUGGCGGAACCAUCUCGUUAACAACCAACAAAGUAGUAACCUUUUGCUUUUAGCCCUCUCUUGAUGUAGGAGAAAACUUGCUUUUCGCUAAAAACUUACAACCCCACCUGCCAUAUAUGCAUAUAGUAUAGAUGAUUACUUUUCACCCCUCUCUUAUGUGACUUGCUAGCAUAUUCAAUAUGCUGACCUACACGGCUGCAACGUCUUAUGUUGCAGAUAUUUUUCUUCGACGAGUAAGAGUACGAUUCAGGGUUACGGUCUACACUCAACUUGCCGUUGGUGUUUAUUGGGACUCCACUCCCUUGACUGCUUCCGCUGAGAUAAUUAAGGUAUAUAUCAAUCUUACGCUAUUUACAUGUGAUUGCACUUUGAUAUAUACAUUGAUGUACUGUGUGUGCCAGCAUACUGAUCCAGGGAUGGCACAGAUACACAGAGGCUUGACUCGUCUUGAGUCGGGUCGCUACAAUCACAUCUUAUUUUCCCCAUCAUAGAUUUUUCUUUUAGUUUGGAUUGUAGCUUCUUCAAGUCAUCUCUAUUUCCACAAGCAAGAAGUCCCUAGCUACUUCCCCUUCCAUAACAUAACCUUUAGGUACAUAAGGCAAUUCAUAUUUAUUGGGAGAGCAAGGUGUAGUAGGUGAUUCAAAAUCUUCAUCAGUUUCAACAUUUUAAAGUUCUAUAGCUCUAGCAAUAUGGGCAUUAAGUAAUUCAUUCAGUGGCACAGUUUCAGUUUCAUCAAAUAUAGUAGUAGUAUCAUCAUUAAUUUCAGAAGUAGCACCAUCAUGUUCAAGCUAUAUAUAACAACGAGCAACAUGCGGUGGUGUAAUAAGUCGAUUCAAAAUAGUAGGUGAAUCAAAAGCAGAGCUAGAUGACAGUUCCUUACCUCCUCUCGUACGAGAGGGGACGACCUUAGUUCGAGUAUCUUUCAGAUUCUUCAUAGUAUCAAUUCAAUAUCUUCAAGUUAAGAUAAUAAAUAUAGCUAUGCUUCUCAGCAAUGGCGCCAGGAAAAUGUCUUGAUAACCCACAAGUAUAGGGGAUCACGACAGUCUUCACGAGUAGUAUUUCACCCUAAUUUAUUGAUCUGACACAAAGGGAACCAAAGAAUAUAUAGAGGCAUUAUAGUUGAGUUGUCAAUUCAACCGCAUGGCAAAUAAUAGUAGUAGCAGUAACAGUGAUAUGAGCAACUCUGUAACAAUAGUGAUAGUGACAACAACAAUAGUAACUUUAGUAAGAUUCAAUAUAUGUAAAGCGUAGGCCUUGGUGCAACAGUGGAAAGAUAUGGAUGACAUCAAUCAUGUAACAGUUACACACUAGAGCGACACAGAACUAGCUCCAAUUCUUCAAUAUAAUGUAGGCAUGUAUUCCGUAUAUAGUCAUAUGUGCUUGUAAUAAGAACUUGCAUGACAUAUUUUGUCCUACCCUCCUGUGGCAGCGGGGUCCUAUUGGAAACUAAGGGAUAUUGAGGCUUCCUUUUAAUAGAGAACCGGAACAAAGCAUUAACACAUGGUAAAUAGAUGAACUCCUCAAACUAUGGCAAUCACCAGAAAGAAUCCCAAUUAUUGUCACCUUGGGGUAUGCGGAUCAAGACACGUAAUAGGUGCAUAAAAAUUGCAAUGUAGCAUCCAAAUCACUCUUAUAUUCAUGAAAACAUAAUAGGUUCAGAUCUGAAAUCAUGGCACUCGAGCCCUAGUGACAAUCAUUAAGCAUAGCAAAGUCAUAGCAACAUCACUCCUAGAACAUAGUGGAUACUAGGGAUCAAGCCCUAUGAAAUUAACUCGAUUACAUGAUCAAUUCCGUCCACACCCAUCACCGACCAGUAAGCCUACAAAUGAAUUACUCACUCCCAGUGGUGAGAAUCAUGGAAUAGUUGAUGAAGAAGGGUUGGUGACGAUGACGGCGAAGAAUCCCCCUCUCCGGAGCCCCAAACGGACUCCAGAUCAGCCCUCCCGAGGAAGAACAGGAGGUGGCGGCGGCUCCGUCUCAUAGAUCACGAUGAAAACUUCUAUCCGAUUUUUCUCCGACUAUGUGAAUUUAUAGCAUUGGAAAUAGGGUUGGGGAGCCUUGUGGGACACACCACACAACAGAGCGCGGCCUAGGGGGUGGCCGCGCCCUGUUGGCUCGUGGUCCAUAGGGACCCCAUCUAGUGGGUCUUUCCUCCAUAAAUUAUUAUAAUUCCCAAAAAAAAAUUGCAAAAAGUUUCGUCCAAUUUCAAGAACUUUUAUUUAUGCACAAAAAUAACACCAAAGUAGUUCUGCUGAAAACAACGCCAAUCCGGGUUAGUUUCAUUCAAAUCAUGCAAAUUAGAGUCCAAAACAAGAGCAAAAGUAUUUGGAAAAGUAGAUACAUUGGAGAUGUAUCAAUGCAGCGAUGCAUCCUCCUCCAUCUAGGACAUAAGCAUGCACCUUGUGUAACGGCCACUAUCGUAGUUGUCCUUGCAUCGUCGCAGUUCCUGCUCUGCCGCUCGCACCCUCUACCACAUUCUAUGUCGAGCCUGCAAUAUCGCCCACUGGCGAUCCCUAGCCGCUUUCAAGACGACCCUGACUAAUUUGGUUGCUCAUAUCGCUAUUCCUGCCUCCUUUCAAACUGGAUGGCAUCAGAAGAGGUAGCAUGGUAGUCCACUGCCAAGCCAGUCAUCGCGCCGACAACCUUGAUUCCACCGUAUCCCAACUCCAUCAUGCCGUCAUCCAUUAGGGGUAUGAUGGUAUGUGUGGUUGUAACUAGUAAGGGGAUCAGUGUGAGUUGCUGCCACCGGCCAUUGUUGUGGUUAUUUAUAGCUAGAACCUAGCUAGGAGAUUGGAGAUUUUACCCAUGUGGCUCGCUCUUGCGCACGACAUCUUGGCUGGAGUGUGUCAAGAAUAAGUGGAGCCCUUGUGCAGUGACCAACCAUCAUUGGUGAUUCUAGGUGGUGAUGUGCAAUGAGGCAUAACACAUAGUCAUUUCUUUACACCCAUGUGUGUUGCGUGACUCAUCAGAGGCUCUUAGUAUUUUGCACCUGUGUGUGACAUAUCUAAUUCUAUGCUUUAAAAACUAUAGUUUGCGGGACACAUGUAUAACACCAUUAAUUUCUGCACUGGGGCGUCUGUGGGUUGGUGCAUGCCAUUAAUGGUUGACUGGGGCUGGUUUCUAGGUACGAGCUACUAGCAAGCAUUUUUCCCAUCAACCAUGUGUGAUCAUUAUUAGUAUCACACGCGAUUACUUUAAUAACAUUGUGUACGUGUUAGAGCACACAAUCGUAUGUGGUGUCACGUGUUAUGACACAUGUGUUUCCCUACNNNNNNNNNNNNNNNNNNNNNNNNNGUCUCCCGUGUUAUGACACAUGUGUUGCCCUACAGAAUCAUCUAUGGAACUUUCAAACCAUCACACACGAGUAAUCACACCACACAUGGUGUGUGAUGCUCCUAGUCAUUGUAGGCGAUUCGUUUCUACACAAUGUUUGUCAAUAAACACACACGCUUCGAACAUCUGAACCGUGCGCAUUAUGACAACAUAUCACACACAUAUUUUUUCAUCUAACUAUGUGCCCAAUAUCACACACGGUCUACCAUCAUCACGCCCGAUGGAUGGGACGUCGCAUGCGUUUCGUUUUCUAGCACAAGGGUAUAUUUUGUUACCUUUUGCGAUUUGUGCAUCGCACACAGUUUGGUCGAAUGGUAUGUGAUACAUGUGUGUCUUAGGACCAACCUGUAGUACUGCAGGUCAUGUCCACUUAUUUCUGAACCUAUAGGGUCACGCUCUUAAUGGGUAUAGUCCUGAUUACCGGGGAAAUGAGAAAUGGGAAAUUAAGUACCAAAAGAGUUUUAGAGAGUUCCUAAAGUGUUUUGGGUGGUCCCGGAAGGGUUCCAGAAAUUCCAAAAAGGUAUAACAUGAUAUCAAAAAGUCCGGAAUAUCAAAACUUUUAAGGGAUCUCGGAAUUUGUUGCGGAGACAUCCCAAAAAUCCAGGAUUUUAUUUCUGAAAGAAAGUUGCGAAGUGCCGUCAUGAGAUGAAAACCCCUAAUGGGGCCCAUGGGGCCCACAUGGGGCUCCACUUCCAUAUGGAAGGGCUAGGCCGAAUUGGGCAUGGGAGAGGAGUCCUUCCCUCAUUGCUCUAACUCGAGGAGGAGUUGUACCCCCCCCUCCUUGAGUGCCCCUCCUCCCUCUUCCACCUAUAUAUAGGAUCGUGCUAUUCGUCACCCUAGGUGAGGAAUAGUUAUUCUUCAUCCUCCUCUAUUUUAAUAUCAAUGCACCGUAAUUUUACGCUCCAUAAUUUUUUUCUUAUUUUACAUGUAAAAGAGACCAUAAAAAAUAUUAUCAACGUAAAAACAUUUUAUGUCACGUAAAAUUACGAACAUACAAAAAUAGUGCAGAAAAUACACUAAAUUCAUUUUUUUCUGGUCUUGUGAUCUAUAUUUUUGUUUUUCUUUUGUCAAAUUUUACAUAGUGAUUCGAUAUAAAUUGAACUAUUUGUAUUUUAAAUGUAAUUUUUUUAAAAGUUGAUCGUAAGAUUAUCUCGGGCGAAGAAUAAACUAUUCUACACCCUGAGUGAUGAAUAUAUAUNNNNNNNNNNNNNNNNNNNNNNNNNNNNNNNNNNNNNNNNNUAUAUAUAUAUAUAUAUAUAUAGCCCGUCUAUUCUGACAUUGUGCGCAUAAUAAUAUUCUAACAACACUUUCGAACUGCACGCUCAACGUGAGUGCACAACAUUGUGAAGUAAAGGGUACUUAGAUACCAAGAUGAGUGGACUUUUCAUCGCAGAAAAACUACAUGCAUUUUUUUUGACAUUAUUAUUUAUUCAGGUUUUAAACCGUUUGUUGGAACAAGGCAUAUGAUAGGGUGUUGGAAAUCUAUGGAUUAGGCCCAACUUUGCCACGUUGAACACUUUUUGAGAUUCCUGAUGGUUUAAGAGCAGUUUCAAAAAUGAUGGGCGCCCGAUGAGUGGCACCAAGUGCAUUAUCGCGUUUUUUUCUAAACCGCUCAUCAGAAUAAUGCAAACGAUAUGACGUGGAAAGAUAUUGCUGAGCCACAACAUUUUCAUAUAGAACACUCCCUCUAAUUCCUUGUAGUUUAAAAGUAAUUUCAAAUUUACUCAAACACGGAAUUCUAUUUCUCGAAGUCUUCAAUUUUUUUGGUACGAUUUUCGUUGGAGUUUUUAACCGUUUGUCGAAACGAGGCGUGUGAUAUGGCAUUCUAAAGCCAUGUAAUAGCCGCAACUUCCAUUUUUUUGGACAUUUGUUGAGAUUCCUCACAGUUUUAAAUGAAUUUUAAAAAUGGUGCGAUGACCGACGAGUGACACCAUCGUUUUUUCAUGAUUUUUUCCAAACUGCUUGUCAAAAUGAUGCAGAUGAUAUGCCAUUGGAAAUAUAUUAGUGAAACACAACAUUUUCAUGCAGAACACUCUCUCUAGUUCUUUACGGCUUAAAAGCAGUUUUGAAUUUACUGAAAUACGGACACUCUGUUUUUCGUGACACCAAAAUCGACGCAUGAACCGCAUUAGACAGAAGAAUGCACUGCUUCGGGCCGAAAAGCACACUCCAUGAGACGGGGCAAGCGAACUGCACAAUUUCUUUUGGCACACAUGGUUCUUUCCAAACAAGGAAGCGGAGUGCGCUUCACCUCAGACGUAAGUGAUCCGUAACGCUACCGGAACUCCGCCGCGUUACUUUUAUAGUUGUUUUCCUAUUUUUUGUGAUUUAGCUUGGAUAUAAGUGAACCGAAAACACUUUAAAAGUAGACCACAUUACUUUUUUGUCAAUCCAUAGCAGUUUGCAGUUCACAUUGGGCGUAAGUGAACCACAACAGUAUCAAAAGUGAAACGCAUUACUUUUUUUUGUUUUUCUAAUAAUUUUUUGCUAUUUAUACUGGGCAUAAUUUUUACUCAGGAAUGAAGUGAAAUGCUCUUUAGAAAAUAAAACACAUGUCAUAGUGCAUGGAAUUAGUCAAAUAGUGAAAUGCUCUUGACAAAAUAAAACACAUGCCAAAGUGCAUGAAAUUGGUCAAACAAACAGAUGGUGCUUCCUUGGAAUGAACAUGACAACGCACUACACGAACACACAUGCCACACUGCACAGAACGUGCCCGCAGAACCGAACUACUCCAUGUGUACCUAAAUACUUGUAAUCAGGGAGAACUAGACUAGUUCACCCCGACUACAAGUAUUUAUGUACGAAGCGAGUACAAAACAACUCCAAAAUAAUAAUUCACUAUGGCAUGUAGCUGCCACACUGUGACACCGAACUGCAACCAUGUCUGAUGUCGGAUGUGAAGAUCACACAUGUGGCAGUACAAUACAGGAGAGAGGGCAACGCCCGAGGUGAACCGAAUUGCAUCCACACUCAUCUGCCAUGCAAGGAGAGUCAUAGUGCACUUCACCGCCACGAUCUUGCUGAGGCAAAAUUUUGUGUUUUGACCUUUUCAGUGAAGUAAAUCGAGAUUUGACCCUAAUUUAAUUUUUUUCGAGAUCUGACCCUUUUACCUACCGUCAGAAGUCAUGGCGGUAGCCUAACACAUCCUACCGCUGGGGUCCGUGUCGGUAGAUUAGUGAAGGAUGACGGGUGAUAGUAAGCAGCUGAUGUGGCAAAGGGCCUACCGCAAAACUACCUGGCAGUAGGGUAUCUACUCCUACCGUCGAAGGCCCUGGCGGUAUGGUUCUGGGGUGGAUAAGAUUGUCUGUUUUGGUGGGUCUUUCCUCCCCUCCCCCACACCUACACAUUCAACAACUCACCUCUCCUCGAGCUCAACUCUCCCCUCUCUGUUCCCCACACAAGGGCCUCUUAAGUCUCUCCCAUUUUCUUGAGAUUUGUCCGUUGGAUCCGGAGCACUUUCAUCACCCAAGGUACCUCUCUCACUCCCCCCUCAUUUUGAUUAGUUGAAAUCAUCUAUUAUGGUUGAUUUGCUCAUUUUAUUGCAAAUCCUGGUUCAUCAUUUUUUGUGGUCAAAUCAAUGAAUGCGAUGCAUUUAGGGUUAUGUUUUUAUUUGCAUAUGUAUUAUGUGCCUAGCAUUGUUGGGGGUACCAUAGAUCUCUUGUGCUAGGGUUAGUGGCCAUGCUAAGUUUUAGUGUUAGGCUUAAGAAAAUAAUUAAGGCUAUGAUUAUCUUAAUAGUCACUUCUCUAAAUGUGGGAUGAGACUAUUCGUUUACGUUGAAGUUUCUAUUGAGGCGGCAGCGAGUGUCGUGAACGCGAAGUUAUUGAGGAAAAGGUGUACCUGUGGGUCGAAGCCGUUUAUGCGUUGAAUGCAGCGUGUAAAGCCUUUUCAAAGUACCAUUUCUUGAAGGACAUUUCAAAAAAUCCAAAAAAGAGAAGAAGUUGGCCAAUCUCAAGAAGACUGAAAAAAGAUUCUAGACAUGAUCUUGCAUGGCAAAUUGCAUUGUGUACAACAAAGGAAGAAUAUGGUCAGUUCAAUGUGGCAAAACAUGGCCAGGUCAUUGAUUGGUUAGUGAGGCAAUCAUUUGUGCAGCUACCGAAGAAGGCUUCUCGUUGGGCAUGGGUCAAAGAAAGAAAUGAUGUUCUUUGUUGUAACCGAGGACCGUGCGAUAAAUAAAUUGGUGUUCAUUAGCAUUCGGCUAUGUAACCUUUGUCAUUUGAAGUAUAAUGACAUGUAUCCAUUUGCUUACCGUGUUCUCAUUUGAACUAUUAUGACUUGUACCCUUAUCAUUUGAACUCCUGAAGAACUUGAUGUUGUAUGUCAUAUUAAGUAACUUGAUGUUCUAUAUGCCAUUUAAGUUGUUUUUUUUGUAUGUCGUUUAAAGUAAUCUUUGAAACCGUAAUAUUCAUGUAGGAUGGUCAUUCUAUAAAUGGCUCUACAGGUAGAAAUUGAGAAGUGUUUAGAGGAGCAACGCAGUUGGGUGAUGUCGCAUCUUGAUGCAUGGAAUAAGAGUUGCAAGGAGGCAAAUACAGCUAUGAUGGAUUUCAACAAGUAUCACUUUUGCAAGAACUAGAAAGCUGUGAAAGAAAAAUAAAAUAUACUUCAUGAGUUGCAGGAGAAGGAAGAUAGUUGUAGACACACUUUGGCAAUGGAGAUAGGUUCUCUGUCAGCAAACAAGAAUUCCAAGAGCUGGACUUGACAAGACCUAGACAUGUUAUUGGAUGGGUAAUCAAACAAGGUGUGUCGGAUAAUACGAACCGACAUGCUCAAUGGGACUGGUUCUACGAUGUAAAAGAUGUGAUGAUCCAUCGGUUGGGAUCCACCAAGUUUGUACUAGAGCCUGAUUGUGAGCAUGAUGAACAAAUUGAACGUAUUAAACGUAUUAGAGCUUGGUUGCCGGUUUAGAACAAGAUUGUAAUGACUUGUACCCUUAUCAUUUGAACUCCUCAAUGUAAUGAACUAUGUCAGAAUUACUUAAUGGACCUCCCAAUCCAAGAUCAUACCUCCCAAUAAGCUUAACCUUAGCAAUUGGGUCAUUCCAAUGUAAGACACUUCUCAAUUUCACUACAAGAUCAUUAGAGCUUGGACUUGUGUCCAAAACCAUAGCCUCUUUCCCNNNNNNNNNNNNNNNNNNNNNNNNNNNNNNNNNNNNNNNNNNNNNNNNNUCUUUCCCUUCAUCGUCAUUUCCAUUCAUAAAUGCCACCUUGUUCAAAUAAUGAACAAUUACGAGUCUAUCCAUGUAAGAACAAUGGAAACAAUGGAAAAAUGAAACAAUAAAUUCAACUACAUACUUUAUGCACACAUUGAACAAAUAACUUCUAUUUAUUCUAUUCAAUCAAGAAAAAACACAUGGUCCAUAGUCAUUACCUUAACCCUAACCCUAAGCCUAAUCCUAAACCUUAACCUUAACCCAAUCAACUAACAUGACCACUAAUCCUAGCAAUACAUCUAGGUACCCCCAACAAUGCUAGGCCCACAAUACAUAUCCAAAGCACAAACAUAACCAAAAAUGCAUCAUAUUCAUCAAUUCCAUCAUAAAUUUAAUAAAAUCUAGGGUUUGAAAAUAAGUGAGCAAACCAACCAUAAUAGAUGAUUUGAACCAACCAAAAAGAGAUUAGUGGGAGAGGCACCUUAUGUGAUGAAAAUGCUUCAGAUCCAUCGGUUAAAUCCCAAGCAAAUGGAGUGGAUCUAUUUGGGUGUUUGUGUGGGGGAGAGAGAGGGGAGAGGGGCUCAGCUCGGGGGAAGAAAAUGAUUGGGGUGAAUGGGUGGCUGGGAGGCCCAAUGCAUUUACCCCAAUCAUCUUAUCCACCCCACGACCCUACCAUCAAGGCCUUCGGCGGUAGGACUAGACACCCUACCGCCAGGUGGUUUGGCGGUAGGCCCUUUGCCACGUCAGCGGCUAAUUGAUGUCCAUCGUCCUCCAUCAACCUACCGACGGGGAACCCUGCGGUAGGAUGUGUUAGGAUACCGCCAUGACUUCCGACGGUAGGUAAAAGGGACAGAUCUCGAAUUUUUUUUCAAACGAGGGUCAAAUCUCGAUUUACUUCACUAAUAAGAUCAAAACACAAAAUUUUGCCUCAUGCUGAUCCAGCGGCGGAGAAGAGAAGCUGGAAGAGGGUCUUCACGUGCACCAAGUUAAGCAAAGUUGUUAUCAACGCUGACAACUUCUUCUCCACGAGCCCAAUGAGUAAUAGCAUAGAAAACGGGCCAGAAUGGACCAAAUCUGUGAGUUUUGACGAGCUCCUCCAACUUCAGAGUUCCUCGAGUGUUUGAAUCGCCCCAGUACCCAAAAUCAAUGAGUAAUAGCAUAGGAAACUGGCUAGAAUAGGCUAAAUCCACGGGACCAAAAUCAGUGAUUAAUAGUACAGAAAACUGGCAAGAAUAGGCAAAAUUCGCGAGUUUGGACAAGUUUCCUGUAACCAUACCCUAGGGUUCUCCGAACAUUUGGAUUGCAGAGGGACCCAAAAUUAGUGAUUAAUAGCAUAGAAAACUGGCCAGAAUGGACCAAAUCUAUGAGUUUUGACGAGCUCCUUGUAACCGGACUUCGGAUUUCCCCGCGCGAGGUGGUGGCCUCCUGUGUCGUGAUGAUUGAGAUCUGCAUUGGGUUUUCCGUGAAGAGGAACGGGUUAUUACAACACAAUGCAGGUAAGUAUUUCCCUCAGUUACGAAACCAAGGUUUAUCCAAAUAAUAGGAAUACCAAUCCUCAACCGUCUUCAGUGACUGCACACAAAGAAACAAACAACUUGCACUCAACGCGGGCAAGAGGGUUUUCAAUCCCCUUGAUCUCGUUAUUUGCAAGCAAAUGAGGUGUGUAGAUAGUUGUUGAUAAUUGUAAAUUGCAAAAUAAAAUAAAACACAAAUAAUUGCAGCAAGGUAGUAGCAGCGUUUUUAAAUAUAUAAGUGAAUAGACCCGGGGGUCGUAGUGUUCCCUAAUGGCAUCUCUCAUGGCAAAGGCAUAUGGUGGGUAAACAAAUUACUGUUGGGCAAUUGAUAGAACAACGAAUAAUUAUGCCAUUUUCACGACAAUGAUCAUGUGUAUAUAGGCAUCACGUCCAUAAGUAAAUAGGUCGACUCCUGCCUGCACCUAUUACUAUUACUCCACUUCAAGAGCGCUUCUAUGCUUGCCUCUCUACGUAUUAAGUAAAAAUAGAGUAAUGCUUGGAGAACAAGGACAUGAUGUAGACAAAGUAAACUCAAUUAAUAUGAAUAAACCCCAUCGUUUUAUCUUUAGUAGCAGCAACACAAAGACGCAUCUUGUCGCCUUCUGUCAAUGGGAUAUAUAAAUUCGCCAGGUUGAACCUACUACAACGCACCACUCCCACUGAAGAAAUAUUAAUCUAGUUGGCCAAACUAUCUCAAUAGAUCAGAGAGCAUUAAGAAGCUAUGAUGAUCAUGCAAUUAAGAAUAAUAAUAAUCAGAUGUGACUCAGAUAAUUUUCAUGAAUAAUCUGAACAUAAACCCACAAUUCAUCGGAUCCCAACAAACACACCAUACAUAGUGAUCACAUCGGAUAGAUCAAAGCGAAGAUGCGAUGAACAUGGUAUUGAAGAUCAUAAGAGAGAAAGGUUGCCACCUAGGUACUGCCUACGGACCCAUAGGUCUGUGGUGAACUACUCACACAUCAUGGUGAGGGCAACAAGGUUGAUGUAGAGGCCCUCCGUGAUUGAUCUCCCCUCCGACAGAUUGCCGGAAUGGAGGUUUAGAUGGCCUCCCGUCGGAACAGAGACUUGCGGGGGCGUAAAAAUCAUUUCGGAAGUGCUCUUAGGGUUUUCAGAAUAUUUUGGAAUUUAUAGGCCAGAGAGGGACGUCUAGAGGCAUCCAUGGGGGGCACAAGCCAUCAAGCGACCAAGCCCUGGGCCGAGCCCUGUUGGCUUGUGCCUCCCUUGUGCGGCUUCUCGUCCACUUCUGAUGCUGGCAGGUCUUCAUAUAGUCUAGAAAAAAUCAUAUUAAAGUUUUGUGGCAUUUGGACUUCGUUUGGUAGGGUAAACCUGCAAAGCAAAAACACGCAGAAAACAUGACUUGGCACUGGGCACUGGGUCAAAAGGGUUAGUGCUCAAAAUAUUAUAAAUUGGUAUAUAAAUGCCCAAAAAGUAUCCUAGAAUGAUAAUAUAUCAGCAUAGAACAAUCAAAAAUUAUUAUAGAUACGUUGGAGACGUAUCAGCAUCCCCAGGCUUAAUUCCUACUCGUCCUUGAGUAGGUAAAUGAUAAAAACAGAUUUUUUUAUGUGACAUGCUACCCAUAAUGUAAUCUCUUGUAUGUAUGAUAAUUGAGAAAUGAUGAAUUAACAAACAACAACAUAAUAAUAUUUAUUAAGUAUAAGCAACACAAUUAUUGAUUUUCAAAGUAUACGAACCUAAAAAAAUGUUUACCCCCUAUUCACCUUUAUUGUAUUAGCAAGGCACGACUCUGUCUUCACCACAUAAAUACAAAUGCUAAGCAUCACGAUGUUUAAUUCAGGCGAUUGGGUCGUACUUUUUCAAUAUGCAUCAACUUUUUAUUCUUCAUGCAAUACAUGAGCGUGAACCAUUGGACAUAGCAUAUAGGUGGAAUAGAAUAUGGUGGUAGAUUUUAAAGGGGUAAAAAGUGGAGAAGAUAAUCUCACAUCAACUAGGCGUACCAACGAGCUAUGGAGAUGCCUAUCGAUAGAUGUCAAUGCGAGGAGUAGGCAUUGCCAUGCAAAUGAUGCACUAGAGCUACAAGUGUAUGAAAGCUCAACUGAAGCUAAGUGGGGUGUGCAUCCAACUUGGUUGCUCAUGAAGACCUAGGGCGUUUGAGGAAGCCCGUCAUUGGAAUAUACAAGUCAAGUUUAUUAUGAUAAGAUAAUUCCCACUAGCAUAUGGAGGUGACAGCAUAGGAGACUCUCUCUAUGAAGAUCAUGGUGCCACUUUGAGGCACAAGUGUGGUAAAGGAUAGUAUCAUUGUCCCUUCUCUAUUUUUCUCUCAUUUAUUUUUUAUAUGGUGGGAUUUUCUCCUUUUUUUAUUUCUUUUUGUCUCCCAUAUUUUUUAUAUCUAUGGUGGGCUCAUUUGGCCUCCCCCAUUUUAUUUAUUUUUCGUCCGGAGUCUCAUCCCGACUUGUGGGGGAAUCAUAGUCUCCAUCAUCCUUUCCUCACUGGGACAAUGCUCUAACAAGGAUGAUCAUCACACUUUUAUUUACUUACAACUCAAUAUGGAGAACUGAUAGGAAGAUAUGACUCUUUGAGAAUGCCUCUCUUACUAUACCAGGAUUUGCAAUGAUCUAGCGUGACAUGUAUCAAAAACAUGAUGGAAGGUGGCUUUGCCACAAAUACUAUGUCAGCUCUAUAUGAUCAUGCAAAGUAAUAUGACGAUGAACGAACUAGUCAUGUGAAGUGACCAUAGAAUUUGCAUGGAAAUAUAUCUCGGAAUGGCUAUGGAAAUGCCAUAAUAGAUAGGUAUGGUGGCUGUUUUGAGGAAGAUAUAAUGAGGCUUAUGUGCAACACAGCGUAUCAUGCCGCGGGAUGUGGAUGCACCGGCGAAAGUUGCACCAAUCCCCGAGGUGAGAAUGGGCUAUGCACGGUACCGAAGAGGCUAGCAAAUAUGAGAAGGUAAAGAUGCGUAUGUCCAAGGUGUCACAUUAGUCAUAAAGAACUCACAUACUUAUUGCAAAGUUUUAUUAGUUUUAUCACACAUCAAAGCACUACUUGCAUGCCGUGAGGGAGGGGGUUGGUAGGAGUUAACCGCCGCUCGCCCCCGACUCGAGACAACACUAGGAUUUUAACAAGGAAUAAGAAUGCUCACAUCAUCACCAUGCCUCUUUAAUAUUUAGAUGAACAACAAGUUAACACCCCUUUAAUCCCGACACUUAUAUGAAUCAACAAUUAUGGACUUUCACUUUUUUCAUAUUACCAUAUCAAUGUCACUAACUCACAAUUUCUCUAUGUGUGCUACAUGAUGGUUUUGAUUAUCAUUCGUUGAAUGCCUAUUAUUUUUGGACUAGUCUUAUGACCCAUGAAAAUUACCGUCACUAUUUAUUCAACUAUCAAACAAAUAUAAGUGAAGAACGAGAGCAAAUUAUUUCUAUAAAAUCUACACGCCACCGUGCUCGAAGAGAUAUAAGUGAAGUACUAGAGCAACUGCCAAGCUCAAAAGAUAUAAGUGAAGCACAUAGAGUAUUCUAGCAAAUCAUAAUGAAGGUGAGUCUCUCUCUAAUAGGUGUGUCCAGAAAAUUAUGAUUAUGAUAAACUGAAAUUAAAAGCAAACAAAAGAAAACGACGCUCCAAGCAAAACACAUAUCAUGUGAUGAAUAAAAAUGUAGCUCCAAGUGACAUACCGAUGGUUUGAGACGAAAGAGGGGAUGCCUUCCGGGGCAUCCCCAAGCUUAGAUGCUUGAGUCUUACUUAGAAUAAUACUUUGGUGCAUUGGUCAUCCCCAAGCUUAGGCUCUUGCUACUCCUUAUUACAUGGUACAUCGCGAUCACACUCAAAACUUGAAAACUUCAAUCACACAAAACUCAACAAAACUUCGUGUGAUCCGUUAGUAUAAGAAACAUAUUGCAUACUUUAGGUACUAUUAUAAAUUGAUUCUUAAUUUAUAAUUGCAUAAUAGGUACUGUAUUCUAACUUAUUCAUGACGUAUACGCCCCCAUAUAAGCCAUAGCAUCAUCAAAACAAGCAAACUAUGCAGGCAAAACAGUAUCUGUUUAAAACAGAACAGUCUGUAGAAAUUUGUAAAUAUCCCAUACUUAUGUAACUCUGAGAAUUCUGAAAACUUAGGACAACUUGGAUAAUUUGUACAUAAAUACUGUGUAAAAAUUUCAAGAAUUUAGCACGCUCCAGCAUAGAAUUUAAAAUUCUGCACUGGAGAUGAUAGUUUCUGUUUUUGCAUACUCAUCAAUCAUACUACAACGCACCACUCCGGCUGAAGAAAUAUUAAUCUAGUUGGACAAACUAACUCAGUAGAUCAGAGAGCAUUACGAAGCUAUGAUGAUUAUGCAAUUAAGAAUAAUAAUAAUUAGAGGUGACUCAAAUACUUUUCAUGAAUAAUCUGAACAUAAACCCACAAUUCUUCGGAUCCCAACAAACACACCAUACAUAGUGAUCACAUCGGAUAGAUCAAAGCGAAGAUGCAAUGAACAUGGUAUUGAAUAUCAUAAGAGAAAGAUUGCCAUCUAGGUACUGCCUACGGACCCGUAGGUCUGUGGUGAACUACUCACACAUUAUGGUAAGGGCAACAAGGUUGAUGUAGAAGCCCUCCGUGAUUGAUCUCCCCUCCGGCAGAUCGCCGGAACACAGGUUUAGAUGGCCUCCCAUCGGAACAGAGACUUGCUGCGGAGGAGAAAGUGUUUUGGGAGUGUUCUUAGGGUUUUUGGAAUAUUUAUGAAUUUAUAGGCCACAGAGGGACGUCAGGAGGCAUCCAGGGGGGCCACAAGCCAUCAAGGCACGACCAAGCCCUGGGCCGCGUCCUAUCGGCUUGUGACUCCCUCGUGCGGCCUCUCGUACACUUCCGAUGCUUGCAGGUCGUCAUAUAGUCCGGAAAAAUUUAUAUUAAAGUUUCAUGGCAUUUGGACUUCGUUUGGUAGGGUAAACCUGCAAUGGAAAAACACGUAGAAAACAUGAACUGACACUGGGCACUGGGUCAAUAGGUUAGUUCUCAAAAAUAUUAUAAAUUAGUAUAUAAAUGCCCAAAAGUUAUCCUAGAAUGAUAAUAUAUCAGCAUGGAACAAUAAAAAAAUUAUAGAUACGUUGGAGAUGUAUCAUGUCGCGCAUCUACUCCGGUAGUCCCGGCGAACUAAACAAUUAGUCUGCCUGAACCGCGUGAGAGGAGCCGAGUAACCACACGACGUCCAUGCAGUGUGUCGGACAGCGGAUCUGGUUGUGGGAUGCGAGAUCCGAUGCUAGAAGCCCGGCGAUGGCCAGAUCCAGAGCGGCGGCAGGGAAAGACAUGGACAUGGCAACACUUGUAGGAUGAGCAAGGUGAGAGGGUGAGGUGAGGAGGAAGAAGAAUGAAAGGAAAGACAAGAGAGAUGUUAGGAUCUGGUGCUGAUGUGGCCGUCCGGCAAGGAGGCGAGGCAGAUCGGCAUCGAGCGCAGUGGGAUGUGGUCGUCGGGCGAUGGGCACUGUGACCGGUGGUGGUGGAUGUGCGGCGCGGUGGGCGGUGGUGUCCGAGCGACGGGUGACGUGGUGUGAGGUGGCGUUCGAUGGCGCGGUGGGAGGUGACGUACAUGCAGCAUGGUGGCUUCCGUUGGUGGUGGUUGGGGCGGCGGUUGAAGCACGGAGGAUCUGCAGCGGGGAUUGGGGCGGAGCGAGCCCGGGGUUGAUGGCAGGGUGGGAUCCGACGAUGGGGGGCUAAGGACGGCCGAUAUGGUGGUGGUGGGUGCCAGGGGUGGCGAUAGGUGGCUGGGGUCGUGGGUGGGUUAACGGAGCGAAGAAGGUCAUGGGGAAUUGGGGUGUGGCUGUGAGGCUUCGUGGGGGUUGGGGAAGACAGUGUCGUGCGAGGAGAAGGAGUUUGUGGGUGGAGUGGUUUUUUUGGCAGAUCGGUUCGAUUGGCUCUCUAGUGCGUGUCGUGUCGGUUGUGUGGGUUAGAUGGGGUGUGGUUAGAAUAAGAGGUUUUUCUUGUUAGAAUAAUGUCUUAAGGUAUAUACAGGUGGUAAAAUGUUUGGGACACUAUAUAUAUGUAUAUGUAUAUGUGUGUGGGGGCGUGGAGGCGUGGAGGGCUUCCUGUUGCAACAAACCAAUCCAAAUGGGAUCUCUCCCGCAUAGCUCCACGCUCUCACAGUCUAAUUAGCCAAAGUGUUAAGGCUCAUAGUUAUAUGCACUUUAAUCGAGACAUUCUAAUUGAUCUAAUAGAAUUAGACUCCUAAUUAGUUGAGAAGAGCUUAUAUACUCUCUCUCUCUAUUUUUCUCGGAGUUCUUCUUUCUAUACGUCAAAGCUUUGUCGGACUAGUACUGCGGACCACGUGGAUACCUCGGAGGGGUCGUCUACUUUGACUCUUACCUCAGAGAACUUUCUCAUGCCUAGGAUGUGUAACCUAGCUAUGUGAAAUUGUCGCGCCGCACCGACUCUUCACUGCUUCUGCUACUGCUUGGUUGUGAGUUUGCGAGUUACCUCCAUCUUCAUAGUGUUUCUGGUGGUUGUGAGUUUGCGAGUUACCUCCAUCUUCAUAGUGUUUCUGGGUGUGACCGUGUAGCAUAAAUUUUUGUUGCAUAAAACGAUUCCCCUACAUAUUUCACUUUAUACAAACAAUUUAUAUAGGCAACAAAUUACUCAAUAUUUCCAUAGAAAUGGAGCAAACAAGAAAUUUAUAAAUACUCUAGUGUUGUUAGAUGUUCAGUUUCCAACGAAUUCGGCCUUAGUUCAAACUAUGAAAGCCCCACUUGUAUGAAAACAUCAACUGCCACAUGUAUAAAGACUCCAACAAUGUUAAAUCUUCAGUGCUGUAAUCAAUCAACUUGUAUGAAAACAUCAAUUGCCACUUUGAGUUUGUACUAGACGGAGUACGAAAAUUCAGUAAAACUAAACAAGUUGCAUUAGUGUAACACUACUGUAAAUUGUGUCAGUAUAGGAAACUAAGGAAGGAAAAUUAGUGUCAGUACUAGAUGGAGUAUGUCGCUGUUGUAAAUUCAUUGAAAACCCAAGGCGAGGAUAGAUAGAGCAUGUACUAAAAAUAUUUGUUCACACAUAAUGUCUUGAUGCAUGUACUAAAAAUAAUUGUUCAGAGUAAAGUGUUUAAUGAAGUUUCUUGAGGAGUAUAUUUGACUAUUCAAACAUGAAACUAACACUAAAAUUUUCUUCUGAAUGUGCAUAAAUAUUUAUUUUACAAGAUUCUGCACCAAAUCUUUAGUUUACAAGAUUCUACACUAAAUCUUCGAUUACUACAUGAAGUCAAAACUUAUCAGCUUAUCAAAAUUUACAAAACAAAAUUUCAUUGCCAUGGCAACAUUCCGAGUUCGGCUGACAUGGCAACCGUUUUUCAUUGUACUCCCUUUGUUAGUACUACUACACUAAAGAACACAACACUUGUACUCCCUUUCUGCAUCAUAUUUUUUCAUCUUGAGUUAUGGUGCUAACCAUAUGUACAUUCAUCUUUUUUCAUUGAUUAUAGAUAGCAACAUAUCAUUAUGCAUGUAUUUAGAUUUGAACUUGAUUUCUCAAGAGGACGAAUAUGAAGCUCUAGAUGAAGAAUAAACUCAAGAAGAAGUACAACAUCAAUAUGAGCAUCCAAAAAGGACAUAGCUACCAUAUAAGAAGAGAUUUUAUGUUUAUUUUGCUUUUCUAGUAAUCAAGAGCAAAGAUGGAUCUAUUCAAUUAGAUGACAAGCUGCUCAUUGCAACUCUGUCGAGUACAAGUGUAUGAAUAUUUGAAAGAAUCUGGUUAGACACAAAACAUCAAUUUGCCGAUGGACAAGAAGUGGAUGUCUCAAACAAGAAGGGAAGAGUUAUCGAGGACAUUCACAAUCACACUCAACAAAAGGAGGACAGUUCGAGCGUUAGCAAGGUAUCUCAGUGUUCCCUCUCAAACCUACACCGGAGGUUCUAGUUGGGUGACCUGAAGUGCAUCGCUAGCAGCGUGAAGCAUUUCCUCAAGUCUGAUAACCUUUUACUAGAAAUUCUACACUAAUGCGCUUUUGACUUUUAUAGGUUUAUGCAUCGAUAUCAGCUUUGGAUCUCAAGUCCCCGUCCUCUUUUCAAUCCAAUGACAACCAUGUUGCAUAUCGAUGAGAAGUGGUAUGAUAUGACAUGAGUGAAGAGCUUGUAUUAUCUACUACUAGAAGAACCUGAAUCCGACCGCACCGUGCAGAACACAAACAAAAUUGGGAAGGUCAUGUUUCUCACUAUUCUAGCUAAGCCAAGAUACAAUGACAAUGGAGAGGUCACAUUUGAUGGCAAGAUCGGUACUUGGGUCGUCGUCUAUAUUAUAUACAAUGUUUGAUUUUUGUUGUACUUACUAAUAAUAAAUAGUUAUUUAUAUUAAACUUUUUUACCUAUUACAAAUCAUCACAUCACAAUAAUGUUUACCGAGUAUAUUUUAUUAUGCUUAGUAUAAUAAAGCACAUAAAUACGUCGGUGCAUAUUAAGGUGUGACAUUCUAUGUAACCAAUUUCAACAUUUGUCAUUGCAAAGGAAUUAUUCUAGAUUAAAAUCAUGUUUUGCCACAAAUGUUAUGCUAUUUUCCAUAAGAUUUAGUUUGGUAUAUUUCCAAUAAAAGGUUUCAUUCAAGAGUCUCCCUUGGGUAUGAAAUGAUAAAGACAAAAUGCACAUUAGUUCACAUAUUAAUGUUCACCAUGAGAUUAGUUGUAGUGUAUUUAUAUGAUUUCAUGUACAUAAUAUCAUAUUUGAAUAUAUUAGUACAUCACUCUAGAGCAUAUGUAUAUCUGAAGAAAAAAAUUCUUGUCAAAAAUUUUAUGGUCUAAGUUAAUAUAUGUCUAGAUAAAUAAAAAAAUAUAAUGCAUGAGAUGUCUACAAGUUUUCCCCAACAAUUGGAAUUAUUCGUUUCUUGGUUCUUUCAUCGGCAAAUGUACUUUCCUAAUUUUACGUUCAACUGUUGGGUUGCAUCGCAUGUUUGUUUUGUACUGUGUAGCAAAAUAAAAUCAUUUGGGAAAGACACAAAUGAUAAUUCAGAGCAUAAUAUUGUUUAACGUGUGCAGUCGUAAAACUUUGUGACAUAACUCGUUAAUAACACAAGCAUGUUAGGUUGACCCCACUCUUGGCUAAUUAACAAACAUAUCAUCCAACAACUAUGCAUCCUCAUCAUCAGAACGAUAAAUUAUUGUCUUCUCCAUCUGAAACAAAAUCAAUUUUAUUAAUAUCUUCUUCUGGUACUCGGGCAUAUGCUUGCACUUCUACUUGAAAUUUUGCUGCUUGAUCUUCUGGUAGAGGUAAUUGUUCUCUAACCAGAAUGAUUUCUCCCUUGUCAAGUGCCUUUACUGAUAUUCUUAGCUUGUACUAUUUCUUAUGGCUCCCUAUUUCGUAUCUUCAAAACUUGUAUCUUUCCCUCCUUUGAUGCACUAGUCAACAUGUAAAUAACCGUUUCAAAAUAGUGCCCCCCUCCAUCUCAUCUUCAAAUUUACCCUCUACUUCCUUCUGUAUAGCUUUUGCAGCAAAUGACUCCAAAAAUAUGUGAACUACUCCUCCCCGAACUAUACUAUGCCAUCCUCUAAAUAGAUAUAUCACCAUACAAUAAUCCCAAUCCAUUAUGCAGUUCUUCUCCAGAAAAAAGCUAGUGAAGCUGCACCCUAUAUUUAUCAACAUCUUUCCAAUGAUCCGCAAAAUUACCAACAAUCUUUGGACAUGACAUUUUAUUUAGCAUCAUACUAAACGUCAUGAGAUUUCCACCCACGCAUUGCAGCCAAUCACUGUUCCUCACAAACUCCCCUCCAUAAUAAACCGAAUAGGAAAAAACUUUGAAAGGAUCCAUUUCAGAUCCUACGGAUGGUAUAUUGACACAUAAACAUCGUCUAUGAUGAUCCCUACAAAUUAAUUGACCUCUAAUCAUUCUCAAAUAACACCACCAAGUCUAAAAUAGAUGUUAGGUUUGACUAACCUCGUCCGCCUCUGCUUAGCCGAUGCCACCUCCCCAAUGCUUGUCCUCUAUCAUGCUUAUAGUCGACGCCAGUCCAGCAAGUUGCUGCCGCGCCAUCGUUCCUUCCCUCAUACCUAAAAUGAGUCGUCGUUGUGCCGCCACGAGAAGUAGGGUUCGGGAGAGAGGCAGUUAACGGAUGAGUGAAACACACACACACACACACACACACACACACACACACACACACACACACACACACACACACACACACACACACACACACACACACACACACACACACACACACACACACACACACACACACACACACACACACACACACACACACACACCGAGAGAGAGAGAGAGAGAGGGAGAGAGAGUAAGGAGAGCACGUGUGUGUCGGCCUACAUGUUUGCUUUGCCAUGUUGAUGAGUCAAAACCAUGUUGACUCAACAUUGAUACUAAGUGGGCCGAGACGAGGGACUAAAAUUCUGAUUUCAAGAAUAAUGGGUGAAAGUUCACUCAUUUGAGAGUUGAGGGAGAAAAUCUAGACUUUUCAAAGAGUGGGAGAUGAAAAGCAUAUUUCCUAGACUUAUAUUAGUUUCUCCGGCAUUGUUCUUUCAAAGAUAUGGUGUGUCCGCCAACUACAAGGCAUUUAUGGCAAUUUCGUUAAUCUCAAGAUCUGUCGACUCAGCCCCUCAGAGGUGUUCAUAGGGGUAGGGUGUACGAGUGUGCUUUUAUAUGGUGAGUAUCCAUGCAUGUAUGUUUUUUUGAAAGAGAGGGAAAAUCUUUGCCCCAUCAUAUUAAUCAAGAAGAUUUUUACAAGGAAACCAAACACUCGAUAUCGUACAUAGUGCACUCUCGCAACAAUAGUGAACUCAAAUGCUUAUCACUCGCAAGCACCCACACUCAAGUUCUUCCUUAAUCUUACCAAAAACAACACUUGGCAAUGUGCAAAUGUUUUCUAUAAACUCUCGCAUUUUGCUCGUUCCAAAUCACCCACGAAACAAGCAUGAGUAGGAUGACAAUUCCUUUACUUGUGUUGCUGGUGCCAUUAUAGCCAUUUAUGUUGCCCAUCGAGUGCCACAAAUCUGUCAGGAGAAGUACUCCCAAUUUUCCAUGUGCAAAUCAACCAUCCCAAGCUAAAGCUUGACUUGCUCCCAAAUGUGUCUAGUGUAUGUACCCUUGAAGUAAAAGUGUGCAGCAGAUUCCGGUUUUGCUUGCACAAUUGGCAAAGCCAACAAUUAGGCUAACACACCAUAUUGGAGGCGGUCCUCCGUACAAACCAUGUCCUAAAGGAUGGGCCAAGCAAAGAACUUGUGCUUGGGAGGAGCCUAAUUAUCCCAAACAGCGGGCUUAAGAAUGGCUCAGAUCCCCAAGUUGUUCCUUAUAUGUCGAGGAGGCCUAGUAGGAGCCCGACGUUGAAGAUGGUAUCCUCUUUGUCGUUCUAAAGGUGUUUGUCCUGCAUCUUGAACCAAAUGCCAUAUAAUCCCAAAUUAUUUUGAUGUUGUCAACCUACUUGUGAUAGUGCACACCAUCACAAACAUACAACUUCUUACUCUUCUUGGAUAUAGCAUAAAUGGAUGGAGCAAUGUAUUUUGGCUUUUGACCUUGCAACCAAGGCGAUUGCUAGAAGUGUGUAGUUUUACCAUUGCCAACAGUGAUUGUCGUCAUUCUAUGAAAUAGAAUGUCAACCUCUCUCUGAUUCGUUGCACUCAAUCCAUGGCCAAACAGAGCUGAAGGGCACACGCGAAUUUGUCCAAGUCAAGGAUCCUGAGGCCAUCAAACCCCUUGGGCCUACAAACUUGCUUCCAUUUGACUUUGCACUUACCACCUAAGACCUUGUCUGUUCCUACCCAAAGUAAAGCCAACUCAAAUUUGAUGAUAGCCUUCAUAGAUCCUUUGGGAAGGAUCAUGGGGUGAAAUGAUAAAUAACCUGCAAGGAUAUAACAUAUUCAACGCAUGAGUUUCUUCCAGCGACAGUGACAUGCAUGCCAACCUGUUGGACGAGUUUGCUUUCCAUUUUUUCAUGCACGUGUUGAAUAUCAGCCGCUCUCCAUCGAUGUACAUAGAGAGGAAGCCUGAGGUAUUGAAGCGGGAAAGUGGCCCUAACUGCUGGGAAGCCAAGGAGAACACUAUCAAGGUUAAUGUCCGAACAACGAAUUGGAGCCACCAAGCUCUUCUAUACAUUAGUUACCAGACCAGUGACAUCGCCAAAAUUGCGAAGAACGCGCAUAAGGUUGUCAAUGUCCUCUAUAAAGGGUGCCACCAAAAUGGUCGGUUGUCCGCAUAUAGCGAGGUUCACAUACAACUGGUCCUUUCCCACAACCUUCGCCAGCGAAUUGAUGGCAAUCAUGAAGAGGAGCGGUGAGAGGCGAUCGCCCGGACGGAGGCCUCGUCUGUGAAGGAUAGGCAUGCCCAACACACUAUUAAGCAUGAUGUGAAGGAAGACGUGUGAUGUAAGGCCGACAACCAAUCACGGAACCUCGACGGGAAACCUCGGUGCUACAACAACUCAAGCAAGUACUCCCAAUGGACGAAAUCAAAGUCUUUGAAUAUCCAAUUUUAGCAGAAGGGAUGGCGUGCGGGUAAGACGCGCAAAUCAUGUGUAUGUUUUUUUGGAACCACAAACCUUUAUUACUCAAAGAUUAAAACGUUUGGGAUACAUAAAAGAUCAUGGGGGUUGGCCUAAUCAUACAUGUCGCCCUUGAUCUAAAGAAUGAGCAUACUUGGCACGCAUAUAAUAUGAAGCAUAACCUUCAAAACAAAAAUUGCAAUUAAACUCCAUUGCUCUUAACCUAAUCUCAAUAUAAUUUGACCGUAGCUUCCUCUACAACCCUCUGACACAUCACUAGCGACUUGCUUAGGAUAAGUUGCCACCAUAAUAUCAUGAACGAGGAAAUCAUCUGCAAGCGACAAUCACUUCGAGAGUUGCAAUGUCCUAAACACCAUGAAUUACCAGAGUCGACGAACCAAGGUAAUUCCCACCAGAGUAUCGACAAACAGUCGCACCAGUCCUUGAUCUCGCAAGGCCUACAUGAACAUGUAUUUUAGCAAAUCCGAUAUGCAAAGCAUGCGUGUAGGUAAGCAUCUGCAUUUGUUAUGUAAUCAACACAAAUCAUGUGUGUAGUGUACGGUCCCAAACAAGUUGGUGUUUGUUCCGCGUUUCAAAGAAAGGGAAAGUUCUGGUUGUAUCCACAUACCAGUGUACCCUCUAUCCUCAUCGUCCAUUUUUCUUAAGUCGUCAUCGUCCAUUUUUCUUAAGUCGUCGGAGGGACGUGAUCCCUCCCCACUUAAAUAUAUUGCUCAUAAAGCUGUCAAAGUCAAGAAUCACCCCUUAAGCUUUGGCUGGUCCAGUUUAUAAGAGAAAUCAAAUAAAAACAUAAAAAAAUGAUUAUGAGGAAAACCGGGUCAAAAAUCGUACUAUAACAAGUUCACAGGAAAUGAGAAAAAAAUUGAUGUCUAGGAAAAGGCAUGACCUAGCUAGCAGGCAGAAAGACCAACACCACGAGAGGAUCCAAGUAGAUGGGAUGUUGACACGAGGGACCACAAUACCAAGACUCGACAAACAACUUAACGCACCGCCCGACGUGCAUACUGAGCCCCACGACACGACAGAGGAUCAUCCAUAAUCAACGACUGUCAAACCUUAACGGUUUGCGAAUGGAAGAUCCGCCAUAAAAGAUCAAAACAAUUAGCGGGUUGGGAAGGCAUCAUUGCGCCAUCAUGAGCAAAGGUAAACUGAGACAACAUCAAGAGCCCGAGGCUCACCACAACGGCAACCAGGGUCUUGAGCAUGCAGGACGGAAACCAUGCGAAGGACAGCCAAAGAGACGCACAUGAAAAUGAACACACCACCGUCAGCCCCAAACUGACCUCAUCACCACCACCAAACACACCAUCAUGAACCAUACGUAGCAUCAUGAGCCAUCGUUUGGGCCUCCAAGAUGACGCCUCGAAGGAGGUAGUGUUGUCAAGGACACAACACAGUCCAUUCUUGCAUCAAAGUUCAUGUAGAAAAAAACAUCGCCUUUUUCUUCUCUACCUAAUAAUAAAGCAAAUAGUGUUUCUGGUCGUACGUCAUUAAAAUUGCCCCUGAAGUUGGCUUAAAUUACCCACUAUGCCAUCCAUAAGUGAAAAAGCGGUUUUGAUUUUUUCUGUCAAAGCGGCCGUCACCUGCGGUUAUUAAUAUCUGAGAACUAGAAGAAUCACGAGCACGGGCGUUGCUUGGUGGCCAGAGCGCGUGUCUUCCACGGGGAUGACCCAGGUUCGAUCCUGGGAUGCAUCUUUUAUCAUCCCCUAUUCUUUGUCUUUUUAUAGCAACAUGGGUUCAUGGACCAGCCCAUGUUUUAUUAUUUCAAUAUUUUUAUUCUUUAAAUUAGUUUGUAAUUUUCUGAAUUCCAUUUUUUUUUUGAAAAAAAUCUUCAUGAAAUCAAAGAAUGUUUGGAAAAUUUAAAAAAAGGCUUAAAAAUCAGAAAAUGUUCACGGAUUCAUAAAAUGUUGAUGGUUUUAAAAAACUGUUCGCAUAUUAUUAAAUAAUUUACAAAAUGUCUAUGAUUUUUUUUAAAUGUUGAGAAAAACUAUAAAAAUACGAAUUUCCAAAUUUCUUCCCCAUUUACAAAAAGGUCCAUCGAUUCUAAAAAUGUUCACUGAGUGAAAAAAACUAUCCAUGCAUUUUAGAAAAAAGAUAAGUUUACAUCAAUUGACAAAACUUGAUCACAUGAACACUGAUUUUCUCUUUUGAUAGCAGCAAACACAAGUUCAUGGGCCAGCCCAUGUUUUAUUAAUUCAUUUUUUUCUUAUUUAAAUUAAUUCAUGAUUUCACAAAAUUUCAUAUUUUUAGUUCUGAAAAAAAAUGUUCAUGAAACCAUAGAAUGUUUGGGAACUGAAACAUAGGUUUGGGAAAUAAUAAAACAUGCACGGUUUUAAAAAAAAUGAUGAACUUUAAAAAUUGUUCACAUAUUAUAAAAUGAUUCAUAAUUUUGAAAAAUAUAUUCAACAAGUAUAGAAUGUUCAUGAUUUCUAUAAUGAUCAUUUAUUCAAAACAUAUCCAUGAAUUCGAAGAAAAUGUCUAUGUAAUAAAAAACAACAUUGAGAAAAACUAAAAAAAUCACGAAUUUCAAAAAUUAUUCCCCAAUUUUAAAAAGUUCAUAGACUGUGCAAAAGGUUGUCCAUGCAUUUCAGAAAAAAAAAAAGAUAAGUAAACAUCAAUCAACAAAAUUUGAUCACAGGAACAUCAUGACCAUCAUUAAUGAGGAUGGGAGAAAAGAUAGGUGGCAACAUGAUGGGACACCGUGUUAAAUAAAAAAAUAGAGGAUGCUCAUAUGUCGAGGUAUUGAGUUAUAUUAUACUUAUUUGGCUAUAACGUAAUAUUUUUGUCUCCCGUUGCAACGUACGGGCAUAUUUGCUAGUUCUUCCAAAUAAAAGAACAUUUGAAUUCGAAACUUUGCAGAUCAACGUCACACAAUUUGUACCCACAUACGUGUAGUAUUAGUACCAUACAUGCAUGCAAACAAAGAGGGCUUCAUCCGUCCGUCCGUCCGUCACUGUCUGCAUUCUGCAGCCGUGCUGUUGGUUCGCGCCUGGCCGUUAUCGUGGCCUUUAAAGUUCGUUUACCCUUGUCCUGUCCGUUGCCGCCUCCCGCCUGCCCACACGCUGCCAGUGCCAUUCCUCGCUGUCAAAACUAUCAGCGCAGAUACGCAAGGCUAUGAACUUACGAUGAAGCGGGUGCAUGGCGGAGGCUGGAUCCGAGGAACACGACGACAAUGGCGACCUGUGACAAGAGCCGGCCGGGGGUCACCGGCUCUCCCAAACACAAACAGUUGUCGCACGAGUGACCAAAAGGCCGGAUGGAACGGGACACGAAAGCGGUUCCAGGGAAAAGGAGAGGAAGAUGAAAAGGAAAAGGCUGGCUGGCUGGGCUAGAGCUAUUCAUAGUGUGUAUCUCUGCGAAUUACUGCUAUAAUUGCUGUCGUGCUGCCCUUUUUAUGCUGCUGUCGAGGCAGGCAGGUCCAAGCAGCCCACGCAUCUAACUUUUCCUUCCACAUAAAUGUCCAAAAUAAACAUUCGUGUCGACCAGGCUACUCCCCCCCCAGUGAUUUGAUCAUCUCCAUUUAAUUGGCUCCAAAAUCAAGCCCACGAAAAUGUAACUCUUUCAGGUCGGAGGCGUGCAGACUACACGAUCUAGAACAUUUCAGCCACUGAGGAAGCAAUUAAGCAGAGGAAGCAUGCAUGUGAAAUGGAGUUAGCUACUACAGUAUUACUCCCUACAUUCCUAAAUAUAAGUCUUUUAAGAGAUUUCACUAGGGGUCUACAUACGAAACAAAAUGAAUGAAUCUAUACUCUAAAAUAUGUCUAUAUACAUCCGUAUGAAGUCCACUAAUGAAACCUCUAAAAAGACUUAUAUUUAGGAACGGAGGGAGUAGUACCUAUGCUGUGUGCAUGACAUAUUGACAUGAACUAGAGCUUGCUUGGAUGGUGCAAAGUCUUGGAUUUGUAGAAUAGGUAUGUCUCUGCAAGUUCAGAUGACACAAAUCCGGGCAAUGAGCUGACAAAAAGGAAGACACCCGGUGGUGGCCGGCCAAAUGCCACUGUGGAUUAAGAAGACAGAUCCCACGGAAACUGUUUAUAGCCAGGUGCAGUAUAUAUCGAUGGGAAAAAGUUUGGAGCCACAGCAGUUGACAUGAUCAGUGGCCAUUGACAGAUUCAGAGAAGCAAUAUGUAGAUGCAUAGAUAGAUAACAUGAGCUUGCAUGGAUUACAAUCAGGAGGAGGGAACAACCAAGACACCGGGGAGUAGACUAGAGAUGCUCACUUUGAGUUAUUAAGCAUUUCAAAUACAGGAUUGCUAACAAUUAAUCAUAGGGGCCCUAGAGCAGACAUGAUGCAACGGCAGCAGCAGCUUGACGAUGGAGGAGGACGGCAGCGGCAGCAGCCUAGUCGCUGCUUGAAGAAGAAGACGAGGACGACGAUGUGUCGGACUCGCAGUCCCAUGCAACCUCGUAGACCUGCACCCUGUGGUGGAAGCUGCGAUGGCAGCCGCAGGCUGAGCACUUGAGCGCGCCGAAGGUGCCCUCCUCACCCUCGGCGAUGAACUCCCGGCAACCGUCCACGGCAUAGCCCCCCGUGCUGGCGGCGUGGUUGCGGCGGGACUCGCCGUNNNNNNNNNNNNNNNNNNNNNNNNNNNNNNNNNNNNNNNNNNNNNCGCACGCCGCAGCAACUGAACCGCACGAUCGGCUCGCACCUCCUCAGGACCACCAGCCUCUUCAUCACGAGGUGGCCUCUCUCUUGCCCUCUCUUCUUCCACUAUGCUCCCAGCUACCUUGCUUCCAGUUCCAGCACAAACCAACCCCUAUCCAUCGCACCGCAUAUUUAUAGACAACUUCCUUCCCCGGCGUCCUUGGCCUAGUGAUACAUCGUUUCCGACGGACAAAGUGCAUGCUAACCUGCAUAAACUCGACACAUGAUCACCCACUCAUGCAUGUGGAGACCUAAUUGGGCUGGCUCAAUUGAUGGUCCAGCAAAUUUCCACCUCACAUUAGCAGGGGUGGGCAAUUCUUGGGCCAUUAAGGCAAACCUUAGAUGAGACUGAGAGUCCUACCUUUCUGCCCUACCUCGUUCUCUGGGUGUGUGUUGUGUGCUCUUUUCCUCUCCUUUUCUUGGUUUCAAAUAAUUGGGGUGACCAGUUAAGGAUACUUGAAUCUUAAGAAUCCCAAAGGAGUAGGCCCCUGCGACUGCGAUCGAAAGGAUAUCAUCAGCGUUGCAUGCCAGCCUAGAUAUCUAACAAGGCAGGGUGUUGAUUUCCUUUGCUCAUUCUCUGCCCACCAGGCACCUGUUGCUCUACCC
rnacentral:lncRNA from 1 species